AGUGAGAGAGACAGAGAGAAAGGUCUUCCUUUGCCGUUGGUUCACCCUCCAAUGGCCGCCGCUGCAGCCGGCGCACCACGCUGAUCCGAUGGCAGGAGCCAGGAUCCAGGUGCUUUUCCUGGUCUCCCAUGGGGUGCAGGGCCCAAGCACCUGGGCCAUCCUCCACUGCACUCCCUGGCCAUAGCAGAGAGCUGGCCUGGAAGAGGGGCAACCGGGACAGAAUCCGGCGCCCCGACCGGGACUAGAACCCGGUGUGCCGGCGCCGCAAGGUGGAGGAUUAGCCUAUUGAGCCACGGCGCCGGCUCUCUAUGAUCUUCUUGAAGACUCCUUAUAUAUUCUAAACAAGGCUGUAGCCUUAGCCAACUUCAGGUUGUAAGGAACAGAAAGAAGUCCAAAAAAAGUGAAAAUUAGAAUUUGUUGAAAUGAUGUAAAAUUCCAUGUUCUUUUAUGAAUUCCCAAUGUUGGAUGUAUUAGCCAGGACUCAUGCAGGACUGGAACGAGAAACCAGAAAGCUCUCUGGAGCCACAGUUCUCUCUGCAAUCUCAGAGGUGUUGUGAAGCUCCUCUCAGUUGUCUCCGUAUAUUGUUUUCUUUUUCUCUGCCCAAUUAGUUUUUCUACCUUCAUAAAGUCAUGGGCAAACAUGGCAGUACUGUAGUUCCUAAGCAUAUAGAUCUUCAGCUGAAAUAACCCUGAGAAGUCUAUAAGAAGUUUUAACUCCUGAUUGCACAAACUGGGAAGAGAACAUUUGACCUGUGUUAAAUAGUGAUCUACUCAUGUUUUCUUUUCAAUGGUGGUAGGAUCAUAUUCAUCAUUUAUUCAUCAAAAUACAUUGACUCCUUAGGAUGUGACAGUCACUGUUAAGUAUUGUAGACAUGGACUAUGAAGGAGGCAAGCUCUUUGACAUGGUGCUGCUCUGGAAGGGGAUGCAAGAUCAGAAUUCAACCUAGAGGAGCCAUGGAUACCCUGCCUAGGAGUUAUAGGAACCACAUUUUGUUGUCACAUGAAGAAGUUUCAAUGGCACAAUGGUGGAAUCUCCAGUGCAUUUCUGUUGUCUAAAUUUGGAUCAUCAUCUUUCUUAUAGGAUGCUAACUGAAGAUGUUCUCUCCUUAUCCAUCAGUUUGACUAGAUGACCCAUGUUCUUUCCAGCUCUAUGAUUUUAAUAUUAAAUCAUGAGAACUAUAGAAAUAAAUGGGCGUGAAAUCUUAUAUGCUAGGCAUGCUUAGGAAAGUUAUUUUGUUGUAAUUGGGACUUGAAUUUAGUCAUGAAGCAAGAGGAGGAGAUAAAUAGGUAUAGGAGGAAAAAUAUAUCCCACGUUAACGUAGGGAAACGUGAAAAGACACAGAGGUGAAGAGUGUGGUAGAGAGAAAGCAGACUCUCUGCUUGGUGUUUUAAAGAAGACCCCAGUAAAAGUAGUUUAUUGGUGCUUGGGUUUGUGAUGAUGGUUGAACAAAUCACAGCAUGGUUUAUCUGAAGAAGUGGAAGGGAUGUUUCUUUUUGCGUAUUCUGUUUUAUUUGAUAAAACAUUUUUUUUCAGAUGUCUAGAAAACAUGCCUUCAUACCCCAUGGGCCAUGGAAGGUGGGCUCAGUGGGGUAAGGGUUAUAGGGCCAACUGUCAAUGGUGUCUCCCCCAGAUAGCCUUUGCAGGCCAUCCUGUCUCAUCAGGUUAUUUCUCAGACUGAUAUGUGAUUACUGUCACAAGUAGAGUACUUAUUAUAUACAAUAACCCUUCCAGGUAGAGAUUGUUGUUGUCACUUACUGAUGAGGAAACAGAGUUAGGUGGUUGAAUCAGAUGAUAGUGUCUCUUAGGACUAGAUCUUGUUUUGUUUUUUGUUUUUUUUUUUUAAAGAUUUUUUAAAUUUAUUUGAGAGGUAGAGUUAUAAAAAGUAAUAAAGAGAGACAGAGAGAAAGGUCUUCUGUCUGCUGGUUUACUCCCCAGAUGGCCGCAGUGGCUGGAGCUGAGCUGAUCUGAAGCCAGGAGCCAGGAUCUUCUGGGUCUCCCACACAAGUGCAGGAGCCCAAGUGCUUGGGCCAUCUUCUGCUGCUUUCCCAGGACAUAGCAGAGAGCUGGAUCGGAAGAGGAGCAGCAGGGACUAGAACUGGCACCCAUAUAAGAUGCCAGCAUCACAGGCAGAGGAUUAACCUAUUGUGCCACAGUGCAGGCCUGAAGGGCUGGAUCUUACUGAGCCAUAGAGUUGCAGAUUUCUCAGUUUUGAAAGAGUUUUUGGGCCACCACUGCCUUCUCCUUCAAAGGUGCCCAUCCCUGCUUUCACUUUCCCUGCCAAGUGGCAGAGGAGCCAAGUCCUGAAUAGUUGGAGGGACAGAAGGUCUCUGACUACUAGUCCAGUGCUCUUUCCAGCCUGCAUCACUGUGGAGUGCAAACCUGUCAGGGAUAGAGCAGAACUCCUGGGUUUCCUCUGUGAGUCCCCCUGGGGAGGGAUCUUUUAUCGAUGCUGGCUGCUGGCACUCAUGACGUCAUGGCGGCUGCUUUUGCAGGGCAUGCUGAAACCCAUUAGCUGGAGUUCAGGUCCCCUCAUGAGUGAAGCAGGGCCCUUGUGAGAAAGUUGGUUUGGCUUCCCCAGCUUCCUUCAGCACGGGACCUUGUGCCAGGUAUUUCUAUUUUCUGUUUGUUCAGUAUGAGUUGAAACAAAGGACUGUUUUGUUGGGUUUGUGUUUCCCUGUGGAAAAGAUUACUUUAGGCACAUUUUAGAAAAUGCUUUUAAAAGAAUCUUGUGCAAGUUGAAAACAGAAGGGAAAAAAGUGAAUGUCUUGAUGGUUUUUUAUUACAAUAAAAAUUGUCAUGAAAGCUCUCUCAGCUCUCUGCCCCCUCCCACCCUGAUAAACAAACCUUUGUCUUGGGAGGAGGAUUAUGUUCAAACAAUAGGAGCAGAAAUGGGGAAGUGCCAUUAUUCGGGGACCUUAGUGCUGAUAAGGUUGACUUUUCCUGAAUAUUUGUCAAAAUUAAAGAUGUGCUUUAUAAAUAAGAGUUUGCUUUUAAAGGUGGUAGGAAGGAGUUACUUAUAGAUCAAAUAGGAAAGUAUUUUGAGUCUGUACCAUGAGAUUCCAAUGAGUGGAAUGAGGAUAGAGGAAGUGUAAUUGAAGCAGAUAUAUAUGUAUAUAUUUUUUGAAGAUGCUUUUGGUAGUUGAUUGGUUCCUCAAAUGUAUUUCAUUUUCUCUUACUUUUUUCUGUUUUAAUGAAUGAAAAGGUCCUCUUAGAUGUGCCAGGGAUUAGUAAUGAUUCCUCUGCACUCAUUUCCGCAGCAGUUGGGUUGGCAGUAAUUGUGUUGGUUCUGCUCAUGUCCUCGAAGUUUUGGUGACUUGGGAUCAGUCUCCAAAUGAGAUGAUGCAAGUUGCCCUCCAGUAGUCAGGAGGACUUCAACUGUGUCUCCACAAGCCUUUUAAAACAGGCAAGGAAAUGGUGGGUCUAGACUGUACUUCCAAAUAUGGCAGCCACUAGUACCACCACGUGUGACUGUUGAACACUUAAAAUGUGGCUGCUGGAGAUGUUCCAUAACUGUAAAAUACACACCCAUGACUUAAUAGAAAAAAUAUAAAAUAUCUCCACCCAUAAUCUUUUGUUUUGUUGACAGGUUGAAGUGAUAUUUUGGAUGUAUUAAAUAAAGCAUUCUACCGAUUUCUUUUUACCUUUUUAAUGUGGCUAUUAGAAAAAUUUAAGUUACCUUCUUGAGGGACAGUGAUGGUCUACAUCAGAGGUCAGCAAUGUGGCCCAGCAUCUGAGUAAAUAAAGUUUUAUUGGAACACAAUAAAUUCUUUAUCUACUGUCUAUACUAUGGCCUAUUUCAUGGUAUAGUGGCAAGGUUGACUGCACCAGACACUCACAAGGUGAAAAAUAUUUCUGUGGACCUUUACAGAAGACAUUUGCUGAGCACUUAUCUCAAGGACUCUGGAAGACUCGGAAGGGCCUUACAUCAGUAUAGGAUUCAUACUCUUUUGGGUCAUUCUCUUAGGCAAGGGAGAGAGAACCAGAUAUUCCUGCUAGUGUUUUAGAGGUGCUUCAGACAUGAGUUCCCCUUUAUUCCCAACCUGUUCCCUCUCAGCAACCAUAAAUCUUCACUCCCCUGCUUCUGAAAGUUUGGCAAGAGGCAUUGAAGGGCUAGAAAAUUGGUUCUGGGUAGAGGGCAGUCUUGGAACUUUUGCCAUCCAGUGGAGGAGUGUGGAAACUUUGCCACUGGUUUGCGCAAUUUAAAGGUUUUCCAUUGCAGAAUUGGAGUUUAUGUUUGAUAGGUAGGGGCUGACAAAGGGACUACUUAAGACGUUCACCUGCAUGAUGAGCAGGUGGUUUUGACCCAAGAGCUCCCAUAACCAGGAAGCUGUUUUGAGGAGAUGUAUAGACCUCACACCUCCAUUAUCAACUGACAACUACGGAAAUGAGUUUUCCGCUGGCUAGCUGUACCUUUAGUACAUGGCAAAGCCUGGAAAGAAGAGUGGAACACAAGGUUGGAAGGCCCAAGAGGCAAGAGCUGACAUUGCCCACACCAUGGCCCAUUCCUGCAGGCUGAUCUGAGGGCAAGGGCCACAGAGGGUUAUCAAAGGUUUCGGUGUGAGUCUACCCUAAAAAUUUCCCCCCUCCCCUUGCUUAUUCCCUCCGAAUAAAUGCAUUUGCUCGCUUUUGCUGCUUUGGAAUCCAGCUCCUCAAGAAGUUUGUUUGGUAUUAAUGUGUUCCAGCUCAGGGAAAAGCAUGUUCCAUUGAAUGGAGUUACAGUAUUCAGAAUGAAUUACAGGACCUGAGGCACGUGAUUUACCACCUAUAGCAAACAGGGCUUCACACAUGGUGUAUUUCUGCUGUGUUGGUUAGUUAUUAACUGCAAAAAAGGGGAAAUUCAUUUAGGAGACGUGCCCAUUUUUUAUGAACUAAGGCUGCCUGGAGAUGCAUGGCAUUUUAAAGCAAACAAAUUCCUGGGAGAGCCUGAGCUUACCACCCAGAAAUGUGGCAAGGAAUAAAAACAUUUACACCAGUUUAAUAUGAAUGGUUGAAAAAAAUAUCUAUUGCACAUUGAACAUGAUAUAUGAAACCAUAACCUACUCUUGUGUAGUAAGCAACAGAACCAUUCACCUAACAGAUUACUAUUCGAGUUGACAUUAUUCUGCAUCUUUUCGAUCUUCUCUUGCCAAGUGCUGGAAACUGUCAGAGAAAGCCCGCCAGAUACAUAGGUACUGUUGGCCUGGGGGUUGAGAGCUCAUAAGACUCUUGAAGGCAGAGGUUACCCUGUGACCCCCGUGCUGCAAACUAUAGUGGAAAUCAAAGGAUGACAGCCAACAUAAACAGUGGCUGCCUGUGGAACGUCAAAGUCAAGACAAAUAGAGGUGGGACUUUCUCUGUCUCUGGUUCCCUUUCUAGUCUAUAAAAUGGAGCUUAUUUUCUAUCUUCCAGGAGAAGAAAAAGUGCCGUGUGGCUUCUGGGGGCCUCAAAAGUGCUUCUUAGUUCAUUCUUAUAAUGUAGGUGGAAUUUGACCUCCUCAAAAAUUAUUAGGGGGUGACUCUUGCUUAAUUCUGGUGUGAUUUAUCUGCUACCUUUUGGAUGUUGAAGCUACAAGGACUCCUAGGAGAAUUUUUGGUAUAACUCUUCUUUCACAGAUGGUGAAACUGAGACCUCAAAAAGCUUAAUAAAUUGCCUAAUGUCUAUUGCUAGUUAAGUGCAGGUCUGGUGCUCAGAACCUACAUAUCUUAACCCGUGGCCUGGAGCUCUGUACAUUUUACCUUUUUGCUUUUUCAUACACACACACACACACACACACAUACAUUUGAAUUGCUGAUUAUUUUUAGAUAGAAUAAUUAAAAAUGACCCUUGACCCCUUUGAGGUUAGGUUUGCAAAUGAUCUAGGUCGUUGUCCAUGUUCAGACAUCUUGCUGGGGCUGCCACUGCUAAUUGGUUUUUAUGAUUCUGGGCUUGUGGAGCUGUUUCCUUUAAACUGUUGUUUUUAAAGUUUUAAAAUUCAACUUCCAUCUACUAGAGUCACAGUAACAAUUGUGUAUGUGAGCAGAUUAACACAAUCUGGGAAUUUUAGAGAAUUAACUACAGUGCCCAGUACAUUUGUAGCAUAUUUAAAUAAACUAGAGAGGCCAAUCCUUGCAAAAGCACAAGUUACUCUUUUUAAUAUGAAAUGUAUGGAUUUUGACAUUUCUAUAAUUUUUAAACUCUCAAGAAUUUUAUUCUGAUGUUUUGUCUGACAUUCCCCAAGUCUUUAAUUAGCUAUAGAAUUUUUGGUUUGUAUUAAUUCUGUUUCAUUUAUGUAUUUUAUAUGUUUAGUGGUCAUAUUUGAAAAAUAUCUCUUGUGAGUACCCUGUAUAAUUUUGGCAGAGAAUUACUUUUUUGUAUUGCUGUAGAUGAUCCCCUGAGAUCAUUUUUGCUUAAAUCCGGCCUUCUAUUUUCAGAUACAAAUCUGUUGUACAGAUGAUUCUUCUGAGAAGAAAAGAUGCAUUUGUAGCUAAAAAAUGUAAAUUACUUUUCAUGGAAAAUACCUCUCUGGGCCCCCAUUUCCAAAAUGUGAUGAUUGCACAUUGCGUGUUUUUGUGCGUGCUCAGGAAACUGUUUUCCUUACAAUUAGAAAAAUCUGGUUGUGCAGCAGGUAGGAUGUGGUGACCCGGCUGCUUUUGCCACCUAGGCAGGUGGGUGGGGGUACCAGAGAGAGACACAGACAGAGGGCCUACUGUGGAUGUGCCGCUUGGCUAAGGGGCCAGGGUUCGGGUUGUUGAAGGGAAGGUGUCAUGAAAAGUGUGGUGUGUUGGCAGAGGGUUUUUAGACCUGGAGUCCUUUAAAUGUAAGAAAGUGUCAUCCUGUCUCUGUAGUUCAUCCUUGCUUUUGCUUUUGAGUAAGACAAUUCACGUUUUAUUCGUUGUCUUCUGGAGGGGCUUUUGGAAUAAACACCCUUCCCAUCUCAAGUUUUAUGAAAUAGGGGAGGACAGCAGAAGCCUCUCCCUGUGAUGUCCUCGGUUCAGCACAACAGGUCCUGGUAGAGACACUCCAGGGCACUGCUGUAAAGCUGAGUGUAAAAUCAGCGUAUUCAGAUCAGUGCCAGAGACAGACUUGAGUUGGAGAACAUUUACAUCUGUUUUCAAUAAUUCCUCGCAUAUGUUGCAGAAUGUACGUUAUCCAUCUUGUUAUCCAGGAAAUAACAUUUGUUGCAAACAGUUUGCCAAUUCGUAAUUUUAUUGAAUUUGUUUAUCAUGCUGUGGCUUCAUAUGAGGUCUGAAAGAUGGUGAUCUUUGGAGUUCCAGCUGUUGUAACAUUCUGCAGUGAGGCCUGAAUGCUGGGAUGUGCUGAAGCUCUCUGGACUGCUUUGCACUUUGCUAGAAUUGCAGUAGGGGAGCUGGCAUUGUGAAUGGCCUGUUACUUGGGGGGAGCCCAGUGACUUUGCUUGCCCACUCCUCAGCCUCAUUUUCAUUUCUGGCUUUGAAAUACAGACUUGGGACCGCUGUGUUGAACAGCACUCCUGGUGGGCCCCAUACUUUCCCCCUCAAACUUUCCAGUUGUUUUGUUUCGGUGUUUGGUUUGAGAGGACCCUGCUCCCCGGGGCAGACAAAGUGUGAUUGUUUCAAACCAUCACAAACAAUCUCAAACCUGGAAACAAGUGAAUGCUCUUCCACAAGCAAAGAAAUACCUUCUUGCUGCGUGCAUAAGUAUCAUUUUUCUUGAGGAGUUGCUGUAAGUGAAUAGCAAGUUCAAUCACAUCUAAUUUUAUAAUUUUGCUAUUUUCUUUAGUAGGCAUUCUGUUCACCAAGGUUUAUACUGUCUCUGCCAAAACUUGGAAGAAAAAAAAUUAACAACCUUGAAAGCUCUUUCGAUCUGAAUUAUUCCUUAAUGUUUUUAAUGGUUUUUUAUAACCACACGAAUGCGAUCUUGAGCCAUUUGGAAGUUAUUGAAUUUCCUUAGAGAUGGGAGUUGGCAUUUUCCAAACCAGUUUGCUUUUGUGGCCUGGAAGUUGCAAGGCAUAUAUAUUUGGAGAACUAAAGAUUAUUCCCCACCAAGAAGUUUUGUCAACCUGACCUUCUCCACUCUUACGACGCUGCGCACACAGCAGUAAUCUCUGCAGAGGAGAGCAAAUAAAGUGAAGAAAUAUAGCAGUACGUGUUAUUUUUACAUCCUAAAGUAAAUUCUCCAGCAUUAAGGCUGACUGGGAAUUUUCAUCCCAGAGUCCUCAUGAAUGCUGCUCCACUCCGGCGUUGUCCUCUUGAAUCUCUUUUUAUUACAGGUCUUUGAAGGAGGUAUUUCUUAUAGUGAUUUACUCAGCCAGGCAGAUAAGUGAGAUGUGGAGUCGUGGAAACGUGGGCCUAUGAGAAGCCUUUUGGGGUCAGCCAGUCCUGCCGUUCAGCCUGCAUGCUUCGGAGGUAGUCCAGCUGGUCAAGGUGGAGGAUGCUUUAGUUCUGUUUAGGGACUCCGGGAUACCUGGAGCCGUGGAGUGAGAUGUGAGAAUUAGUCCUGGUCGUGUGGACAGCCUUGGAAUGUCUCUUGAGCCAAACGGUUCUGUAGACAGUCUGCUGAGUCCUUUGCAGGAGGUGAGUGUCCAGGACACCCGCAGAAAUCUGUGGUGAGGACCAGGGAGGUCGCUGUUUUCGACCUCCUACCUUGGAGGCACCCCUGACACUUGACCCCAGCAGUCUGGUGCUUGAAGUCUUUGAGUGGCACCAAGCUCAGCACAUCCCAAAGUCCCCGUGCCCUCCUGAACUGUUCUCGAAACAGCGGCUGUGUGUGGAUGGGAUUUCAGUAGCCCUGCAGCUUCUCUCCGUUGCUCCUAAUCCCAAGACAUGAGGAUUUUAAACAGUAUUCCUCAAGGAGAAAUAAAGGAAACAUUCUCGUCUUUUGAAAAGCAAACCAAGUCACUUUCCUGCUUUAUUUUUUCUUUUCUUUUUUUUUUUUUUUAAGAUUUAUUUCUUUAUUUGAAAGGCACAGUUACAGAGAGGUAGAGGCAGAGAAAGAGGUCCUUCAUCUGCUGGUUCACUCCCCAAAUGGCCACAAUGGUUGGAGCUGGGCUGAUCCGAAGCCAGGAGCCUCUUCUGGGUCUCCUACACAGGUGCAGGGUCCCAAGCACUUGGGCCAUCUUCCACUGCUUUCCCAGACCAUAGCAGGGAGGUAGAUUGGAAGAGGAACAGUAAUCGCUUCUCAGUCUUUUGGCCAAGAUCAAGUGUGGAAGUGGAGCAGUCAGGUCUCGAACCAGUGCCUGUAUGGGAUGCCAAGCACUGUAGGAGGCAGCUUUACCUGCUAUGCCACAGCACCACCCCACCCCAACCCCUACUUUAUUUUUUAACCUAUUCUGGUGUUUGCAAGCAGCCUUCAAGAUCAGUUGUAUCUUUUUAAAGAAGAAAAUGGAUUUAUUUGCUCCUGUUGCUUCUUCAGAAUAUGUUAAUAUCACAUGUGAGGCAUUCAUAAACUAUCUUUCCAGAAGAAAGAUUCAGAUACAUUGAUGAAUCAGUUUAUUCUUUCCCUGGCUUUUAUCUUCUUUGGUGGUGGGGAUACUGUGUCACAUGUGUUAAAUUCUGCUUGGUCCUUUGCUCAGCACUUGGCCUGAAAAAGAAAUACUUGUUGAAUAGACACUGAAUACGGGCAUUUUUGCACAGGCUAAACUUUUUGCUGCUGGGAAGUAUCUUUUGUAUGCUUCUGUUCCUACUUUGCUUGGUUUACUUCAUCAUGAAAAUAAUUUCUUUUUGUUCUUGCCUACAGAAUUCUCUGUUCAACCUUAAGUGUCCACUCAAAAGGUUUCUCUCCUUUUUCUUCUCAGCAUGGUUGUCCUGUGAUCCAUUUUCACUGGAUGUAAUUAUUUGGUAGUAUGGCAAAACAGUUAGAGAUCUUAGGCCAGUCACUUCCCUGUUAAAAAUUUACUUGAAAAAAUGUAUAUAUUCCCUUUAAAUUUCCAUUUCCUUAUUUACCCUCUUCUGAGGGGCUGUUGUACGCAAAAUGGGCUGUGUGAAGCUCCAGGAACCCAGCAGGUGCUUUGGCAGUAGAGAUAACUGUCAGUUGGCUUUGGUGUGCUGGAGUUGACCCUGUGUCUCUUGCUAAUGUCAAGAGACUGUGUGUGUGUUGGGGAUGUGGGCCUUGUGUCCAGGUACCUGUGUUUUUGUGAGCUUUGAUUCUAGGAUCCCAUUUACAUCACUACACUCUCUCUAGUUUGCUGGCUAACAACAGUGACCACAUACCACAGAUUUGCUAUGGCAAUCUUACUGUAAGUUAUGUUGUCCAUUUCCCCUGUAAACUACUGAAAUGUCUCUAGAAUCUUGAUUUGGAAACCUAGGUUUGGAAUCUCCAAGCCAGCCUGUUGCACCUGAAACUAACACAAAAUAGAUUGUCUGUUGCUUCCUAAUUUUAAUCUGAAAAGGUGAUUAUCACUUUUUUGAAUGUUGGGAACACCUGACUGAUAGAAGAAAGAGAAAAGUUUUAUUGGUGUAGUGUAUCCAGAUAGUAGAUCCUGAAAGGUACUAUAAAAAAAGAUCUCUUGUUUCAGGGUCUCUCCUCAUAUGGGUGAGAGGGCAUAGCGAGAGGGCAUAACAUGCUUGCUGCUCAUUGCUACUUUCCAAGACUGAUAUCUCUGUAAAUAAGAGCAUUGUGGUGGGAUCCUCUUCCUUCCUUGAUUGCCUGUUCUCUGCCUACUUGGAUUAGUUGGUUGCCUGUUGCUACUGCAUCAAUUUGCAAUAAACUUAGUGGGCUAACACAACAAUUCUCCCUGUGCCCCCAAAAGAUUCACAUGAAUCAUCCCUACAUGAAAAGUACACUCACUACAUCUCCAGGUUCCUGGGAGUCACAGCUCUUAGAGCCUGAAGUCUGAAACCUAAUCUAAGUCUCAUCAGCUCAAAAACACCAAAUACCAUAACUCUAUAAUCUAAAGUAGGUGUGGGCGAGGCCCCGAAUGUAAUAUGUUAUAGCACAAAAAUCACUCUGUCAUGGAGGCAAGAGGGUGGAAACAAAUUCCUCUGCUCCCGAAGUGCAAUGGAGAGACAGGCAUAGGGGAUCAGUAGACCUUCCGUUCAGAGAAACAGAGAGGAAGAGUAAGUAAACCACUGGUCUCUAGAAAUAGAAGGCUUAAGGAUCUGCCUUCUGGGUUCUGGGCCCGAAGCUCUGUCUUCUGCAUCCUAUGUCCUUUUUCAUGAAACGCUGAUUGCACAUUUUGACAAAAAUUGUCUAAUCAACCUUUUUCCUGUUUCUAGAAUGUUAUUAUCUUACUGCCUUCUUUCGUUUCAUCCUCUCCUUUUUCCUUUCAGACUAAGCUAGCAGUGUCUCUGCCACUAUAAUGCUCUCAAAAACUUACAGUCUUGCGUCUCUGUCAUGGUGCUUCAUUCCCUAAGAUAAGAGAGUCUUCCAUAGAUCUUUCUGGAUAAUCCUUUUUUUUUUUUCCCCUGGUUUUUGUUGAAGUGGUUGAGGAGACUCAUGCGUCACAUGUCUAAUCUCUUCUAAAAGCUCUCUGUGUGAAUGAAUACCCUGGUCUUGUGAUCCUUUUGAGGCACUUUCCAGAGGUUGUGCAUUUAUGCCCUUGGCUUUCUCUAGCGAGCAUCCUCUGUUGUGAACCUCCUAAUGUUAGCAUCCUUUCUAAACAGACUGAUAAUUCCCCAUAUCAAGGCCUGGUUCCUUCUUUUAGAUUAACAGUUUUUUCCUCAAUUUUUCUGUCUUUUUGCAAUUUACUAUAAGCAGCAAGAAGAAACCAGGCUGCAUCUUCAAUACUUUUCUUGGAAAUAUCCUCAGCUAAACAUCCAACUUCUCUGCUUGCAAGUUAUUUUUUCGUUAUAACCAUAUGGCACAAUUCAGCUAAUAUUUCUACUGAUAUAUCACAAUGAUCCCCUUUCUUUUGGUGUCUGAUAACUUGUUCCUUAUUUCCUUUUGAGCCUCCCUAGUACAUUUAGCAUCCAUAUUCUACUGGCAGUAUGUUUAUGAUGAUUCAGGUAGUAUCAUUUACCACAGUAUUGUUUUUACAUUCCUUUGUUCUGAGUCCUUACUAGUGUAGUUAUUAUUAUCAAUAGUUAAGUCUUUUCAAACCAUAUAUUGCUUCUCUCAUGCCCCUCCAAUUCCUUCUAGCUUCUACCCGUUAUCUGAUUCCCUAACUGCUUCUACAUUUUUAGGUAAUCAUUAUAACAGCACCUAGUUUCUAUGUACCAAGCGUAUUGGUUUUCUAUUUCCAGUGCAAAAACUUCCUACAAACUUAGCAGCUUAAUACAAAUUAUUCUUCUGAUUCUGGACCUCAGAAGUUCAAAAUUUUCCUCCCUCCUUUCCUCCCUGCCUGCCUGCCUGCCUGUCUUUAGAUUUAGAGUUAGAGCGUCUCCAUCCACUAGUUCAUUCCCCAGGUGGCCACAACAGCCAGGGCUGAACCAGGCUGAAGCCAAGAUCCCAGAGCUUCAUCCAGGUCUCCCAUGUAGGUAUAGGGGUCCAAACAUUUGAGCUUUCCCCUGCCUCUCUCUCAGGGCAUCAGCAGGGAGCUGGAUCGGAAGUGGAGCAACUGGUACUCUAACUGGUGCCCAUGUGGGAUUAUACACAGAGCAUUAUACACAGAGACCUGACCUGCCUAGCCACAAUGCUGCUGGCCUCUCAGAAUGCCCUUUUUAUGUCACAGUGAAUCAAGCUGCUGCUUGCAUUGCUGGCAUCCUGUAUCAGAGUACUGGUUCAAGUUCUGGCGUCUGCUUCUGGUCCUGCGCCCUGCUAAUGCACCUGGGAAAGCUGUGGAAGGCAGCCCAAAUGGUUGGGCUCUUGCUGCCCAUAUGGGAAACCCUGGUGGAGUUCCAGGAUCCUAACUUUGGCCUGGCCCAGCCCCAACUGAUGUGGCUGUUUGGGGAGUGCACUAGCAGAUGGAAGAUCUCGAUUUCUCGAUCUCUCUCUCUGCCUUUCAAAAAGCAACAACAGAAUAUUUUAAGAAAAGUUUAAAAUGAGUUGUAGAGGGCUAAAUCAAGAAGUGAAGAGGCUCUGUGAAGAAAAUUGUUUGAUGCCUUUGGCGGUUUCUAGUGACCACCUUGUUUUGUGGGCCCUUCCUCCACUUCAAAACCGUUAGUCUAAUGUCUGUUUUCAUUAACACAUUGCCUUCUUCUGUUACAUUUGCUCCCCCUCUUCUUCAAAGGACCCUUUUCAUUGUAUUGAAGCCACCUGGAUAAUCCAAGAUAAUUUCUGCAACUCAGACCCUUAGCUUAAUCACGUCUGCAAAGUCCUUUUCCAUAUGAAGUAACAUUCACAGAUCCUAGAGAUUAGAACAUGGACAUCUAUGUGGUAGAGCCCCUCAGACAGCCACACUGCUCGUCUUGCAGGUCUCCCACCUUUCAGAAGAUUGAUGAACAGCACGUAGUAGUGGAAGAAGUUAGCUAGGAGCCAGAAACCUAGAUAUCAGUCCAAGUUGAACUACUAAAAAGUUCUAUGCCUUCAAAGAAGUUUUUUUUUUUUUCCUUAGGGUCUCAGUAGUAUCAGCCAUAAAAUGAGGGAAUUAAACUGAGUGAUUGUCUUAGUCUUUUAGGACUGUCUGUUGCUUCGAUUCUUUGUUUCUGGGCUUUUGUUGCAAUCAAGUGCUUAGAAAUAAGAGAUGAUGAGUUCCAGUAGUUGAACACUUUCGGAUGUAUUAGUCAAAGUGCUGGUAUAGUUGGGUGCUGGGUUUUGGUUGAGAUGACGUCCUGCUGUUGCAGAUGGGGGCCUUUUACAGGAGGCACCCAUCAUCUCAGUGCCGACGUCGUAACAAGCAUGGUGUCUCUUAGACGAUAGAACUUACGCUGAAUAAGGGAAAUAAUGAGCACUCUUGGUGCAGGGGAUUAGGGUGACUUGCUUAAUAAAAACUGAGGUCUGAGGGAAGGGUUUCUUUUGGUUUCCAGGAUAGGAGCUAUGUCUGAGGUAGAGUAGGAGGCUAUUUCAAGGGUUUGUUUCUCCAGUAGGAGAAAGAAAAAUCUUUAGGACAAAAAACAUGCCUUGACUUUUGAUAAAUUGAUGCAGCUACGGAGAAGUCUGGGGCAGCUGGCACAUGUUGUGGAGCUCAAGAGAACUGGAGGUGAUGCCUGGUGCUAAGCUCUCUGUAAGGAAACCAGGGCAGUUCACACAAAGGCAAAGCCCGAGUUUCAAACCGUUCAGGCCAAGGAAUUCAAGUUCUGAGUUCAGGAGGAUUCAGAAGAGAAAAUGUAGCUUUUUGGCUUGUCCUCUAAGACUCUGUGCCUCUGGGGAAAUGCACGUAGUAUUUCUCUUAUUGCUAAAUGGCAGUAAGUAUGGUGAUGGGAAUUUAAGAAGUGGUCGCUCUGGUAGACCAUUGGAUUUUCUCAAUUGGUUUUUCAAGGCUAGGCUGAAUUUUGUGUUUUUAAAAAGAGAAACCUUUGGUUCUGUGCAGAAGUGAGCAUCUUGCCCUUCAGCCUUUGUAAUUUUACUUAUUAUUUCCCAUGCCUGGAAGUUCUUGUGUAUACCUCUCCCUGCCUUCCUGACCUUAAAGAAUUGGCCCAAAUGCCAUGCUUUUUUAAUGGAGUCUGUUAUUUCUGAUCUUGUCUUUCUCUUCAACUCUUGUGUUUUUCUAUUCUAAUUCUUUAAUGAUAUUGUCCACAGUAGAUAUAUAUAUAUAUUUUUUUUUUUUUUUUGACAGGCAGAGUGGACAGUGAGAGAGAGAGACAGAGAGAAAGGUCUUCUUUUGCCGUUGGUUCACCCUCCAAUGGCCGCCGCGGCCGGCGCGCUGCGGCCGGCGCACCGCGCUGAUCCGAUGGCAGGAGCCAGGAGCCAGGUGCUUUUCCUGGUCUCCCAUGGGGUGCAGGGCCCAAGCACCUGGGCCAUCCUCCACUGCACUCCCUGGCCACAGCAGAGGGCUGGCCUGGAAGAGGGGCAACCGGGACAGAAUCCGGCGCCCUGACCGGGACUAGAACCCGGUGUGCCGGCGCCGCUAGGCGGAGGAUUAGCCUAGUGAGCCGCGGCGCCGGCCUCACAGUAGAUAUUUAAGUACAUUUUUCUAAGUUAAAUUAUAAUAUGGAGGAAUUUUUUUUACCUUUAUCUCUUAUUUCUCAUGCAAGAGGAGAGCGUUUAAUAUGUGUAGAAAGAAUGAAUAAAGAUGUGAGUUCACACUUAAACAUGGGCUCAAUGGGUACAUAAAAUGUAGUAAAUCAGUGUAUGGAAAUCCAUAUAAAUAUACUGAUAUUCAUAGAGAUACUGAUAGAUGCCUUAGUGCUCAGGAUAGUACUGAAUAUGACUAACUUGGGAAUUAUAGCAGAUGUGUCAGAUGAUAUCCCAAGCUUGGUAAGCCCAUAUUCUAAUUGUGAAAAGAAUAGAGUAAAGUAUCCAUGAGUUUUAGGUGGGGUUGAAUUGUAUAGUACAGGUGAUUAGUCUUUGUGUAUUCCAGAGAAGAUGAUGUUGUCCAUGCCUGGAGUGGAUAAGGAGGUAUUGAUGGAGGAUGUAGGCGUUGAGUGGCUCAUUGAAGAAUAUUUGUGCCCAACAAUUUUUCAGGUGUGAAGGUCUUGUUUGAAAUGCCAAAUAUUUACAUGCUUGUCUCUAUAACAAUUGUCGUAUAUUUAGUUUCACUAUAUGAAAAACUCAGAGUGGACAAGGUAGUUCCAGCUCAAGUUUAAUUUCUUUGUCACUCAUUUCUUACUCUGUCCAACCAAGCUUGAAACACAUAAGGGUUUGAGGGCUCAAGAAUUCUAAGGCUCCUUUUGUGGACUGUGGCUAUCUGCGCUUAGUAGAUACUUGGGUAAUGCUGAUAGAUUUCUGGUUAAGAUUUCCUGAUUUUUUGAAAAUUGUUUUUACUUAUUUGAAAGGCAGAGUUAGAGGGAGGGAGAGGGAGAGGGAGAGAAAGAGAGAAAGAGAAGGAGGGAGGGAGGGAGGGAGGGAGAGAGAGAGAGAGAGAGAGAGAUCUUUCAUUUGCUGAUUUACUCCCCAAAUGGCCACAGUAGCCAGGGCUAGGCCAAGCCAAAGCCCAGGAGCCAGGAGCUUCAUCUAGGUCUCCAAGGUGAGUGCAGGGGUCUAAGCACUUGGGCCAUCUUCCACUGAUUUCCCAGGCCAUUGGCAUGGAGCUAGGUCAGAAGUGGAGCAGCCAGGAUUCGAACCAACACCCAUAUAGGAUGCCAGCUCUGCAAAUGGCAGCUUAAUCCACUGUGCCACAGCACCGGCCCCAAUAUUUCUGAAUUGUUAUGCUUAAAACCAUUUAUUUCUUUUUAAAAAAUAUUUAUUUAUUUGAAAGGCAGAGAGAGAGAGAGAGUGAAAGGGGGAGGGGGAGAGGGAGGGAGAGAGAAAGAGAGAGAGAUAUCUUCCAUGCAACGGUUCACUCUCCAAAUAGCCACAAUGACUGGAUCUGGUCAGUUUCAAAGCCAGGAGCCAGGAGCUUAUUCUAGGUCUCCCACAUAGGUGCAGGGGCCCCAGUACUUGGGCCAUCCUCCACUGCUUUCCCAGGCAGUUAAGCAGGGAGCUGGAUUGGAAGUGAAGCAGCCAGGACUCAAAACCAACGCCCAUAUGAGAUACUGGCAUCUUAGGAGGCAGCUUUACUUGCUACAUCACAAAGCCGGCCCCAGAACCAUUAAUUAACUAUAUCUGCUAAGGUUUCUUUGUUGCCAAAUAGAUAUGCCAUGGAGGCUUUUUGUAUUUGAUCACAGAGGUUUGUUUUUAAACUGGAUUGAAAUAUAUUUACAGUUCAGUAAAUGAAAUGUAUAUAAAAAAGUGUAGUUACUGAAGGGGCAUUUUGUGUUAAAACUAGGAGAGGCAACUAAAUGUGAUGACUGAAACAUUCUCCUUUUCAAAUGUCUCUAACAUUAUUAGGAAGUAAAAAGUCAGAAACCUCUGUGUUAAAACUAGUGAUGUGACAGUGUAGCUUUAUUGAGUAUGUAAUAUGAUUAUUUCAUUUGUACCUUGCUUUGCAAUGCAUGCUGAGUCAAAUGCAAUACAAAUACUAAUACAAUAUUCAACAUUGCAAAUACAGAGAAAAAUGUAUCAUCUUAUAAAAUAGAAUUUAAACUGAUUUCCAAUGAUUCUGAAUAUUUAAUAGAGAAAACAUCUUUUUUUGAUUUUCAUUCUGCUAAUUAAAUGAUUGGAGUAAAAACAAUCACUUGAAAAUAAAUUCUGAAAGAUUAUUUCUUAACAUGGUAUAAUGUUUUUGCCAUUUUGAACUCUUGGAAUCUACUCAGCUUUACCUGAUUUUUGUGGGACAUUCACUUUAUGAGUUCAGGUUUUUCAGGGAUGAAAACAUGAAGCCUCUUGGUUUAGCCAAAGUUUGUGAUAACCCAAAUAUUGCCUUGUUUGUCAAAAUGAAGACAGCAUCUUGGCUUUGUUCUGGAGACCUGGAGAGAGAGACUGCCAUGAGUCCAACACGUAUUGAUUUGGUUCUUAUUCUGUGAUCAUUAUAUGUAGUCACUUUGAAAGGCUCAUGGAAAAUGAAAUUAACAGAUAAGUUUCAGUGUAGGCAUUUUGGCACAGCAGGCUAAGUCACUGUUUGGGAUGCCUGCAUCCCAUAUUAGAGUACCUGGUUUGAAUUCUGGCUACUCUGCUUCCUGUCAAAGUCCUGCUAAUGUGCCUAGGAAGGAAGUCGAUGAUGGCUCAAGUAGUUGAGUCCCUACACCCAAAUGGAAGGAACUGGGUGGAGAUUUGUGAUUCCUGGCUUUGGCCUGGCUUAGCUAUGGCUGUUGUGGGCAUUUGGGGUGUGGACCAGCAAAUGGAAGAACUCUCUUUGUUUCUCCCUAUCUCUCUGUCACAUUGCCUUUCAAAUAUAUAAAUUUUUUCAAAAAAAAUAUUUGUUUUGGUAUAAAAAAUUUGAAAUCCUUGAAGCUUUUCAUAAUAUGCAUUUUCAUGAACUUUUUGAAGUAUAUGGGGUUCAGCAUUUUUUGUUAUUGACAUAAAGUUUUCUUUUGAUUCUAUUUUCUAUGAACUUUUAGAAAUAUUCCGUAGGUUUAAAUACCAUGAAUGGUGGGUGGUGAGAGAAAUGAGGAAGAAGCCAUUGCUGAUAGAGGGUGGGACAGCAUGACCUCGUACCACAGUGCUGGUCCUAAACCCAAGGCUCUGGGCAAGCUCUCCUGUGUGCCUGCUUCAGUGCUGGGGUGUGGUGGCGAAGUACAAUGGAUGGCGUGCUGAAGGUUCUGGGGGAGUCAAAGGGACAGGGAAAAAGUCCUCUAGGCCCAUCCUUCACUUAGCUUUUUAUUUUUAACAAAUGAAAAAUACGUAGAGCAGUUGUCAUUUGUUAAAGUGUAGCAGAAAGAGCGAAACAGGCCAGUGGAGGCUUCAUCAAGAACGCUCAUUCAGAAUGAUGAAUGUGGCUAAACACACAUUUGUUCGUAAAACUUGCAGAGUGGCUGAGCAUCAUUAAGCAUGAGAAAUAGGUGCAGCAUGCUGAGAAGAGAGUGGAGCAAACAGAUGUUGUGAAUUUUCACAGGCAUCCUUCAUCCACCAGUCCAUCAUUAAUAUAGUUGAAGGUGAUCUUUUCUUUUUAUUUAAUAAGCACAAACAAAGUACAUGUGCUGUGAUUCUGCUGAAUACACUUCUUUUUCCUUAGAAGUAAGGGCAGGCUAGGAUGCAGAGAGUAUGGACAGACCAACUCCCUGCACACUCAUAACAUCAUACCAGCAUUGAGGCCAAAGCUAGAGCAGGCAACCUCUUAUUUUUCCUUUUUCUCCCAAUCCUACAGUGGCCCUGACUUCCUGAUCACCCUGCCUGCUACCUACAGAUUAUCUGGGGCUGCAGGAGGAUGGGAAGCCUUAUGACUUUUGACCUUGGUACCUUCCAGCUCUAUUCCCUAGGAGGAAUCCAAUGUCUAUGACUGAGUUACCUUCCAAUUCUGCUUCCUUAGGGUGCAUGUAACUUUUAAUGAUGUGUUCCAGUUUAUUUUCUGGUUUCAGUUGGCCAGAAAUUUUUAUUCCUAUUGACAAAACUUCAUUAACUCUACCUUCAUUAACUUCAUUAACUCUACCUGUCUCAUCCAAUUCUACUUCUUUCCCUUGCUACUUUUUUCUUUUAACUUCCCAGGUAUUGGCCUGCAUAUACUUAAAGAUCUUUGUCUACUCUGCAUUGCUCUCACUUCUGAUCUUGAUUCUUCAGCUGUCUGACCUGCACUGAAGAACAGGAAGCACUCUCUUUGGUAACCACAUUUCCCUAGUCUGUUCAAUAAAGGUGGUAAUGCUUUAGUCAUAGUUUGGACCCAGCUGAAAGCAUUUUCUGAACUCUGAAAAUUACUAUACAAUUAUUAUGAGUGUUAUGACUAAUUGAAUGAUAAGUUUUCUUCAUAGUGUUAUCACUUAGGAGUUACCUAUUCCUUAAAUCUUAGUGCCAGGAGCAUUGGAUCUGUGAAGCUGUGUCUGUUUUAAUUGUGUGUGUGUGUGCAUACAUCUGUUCAUUUUUGGUUUCUACUAGAGAGGAAAAAGCAACAAGAAAGAAAGAAAACUGUAAGUGAGGAGCAAGAUAUUGCUUUAUUUUGUUAUUAAUGAGCUAUGAAGAACAAAAUAACAUACGAUUUUACAGUUGUUCCUUUUCUUCCCACAAAAUAUGCAUUAUUAAGAACUUGAGUACCUUAAGGCAGAAGUGAGAAACUGUGUAGUAAGUCAUUUUGGAAUACAAAAUAUCUACCGUAACCUCUUGUUUGUUUAACUUGGUACAUUUCCUUCUUGACUGUCGCAGCUGUCCGCAUCUGCUUUGAUUUGGUGUGUUGAGUUUGACUGUGUUUAUUUGUGUGUGCUUUAGUUUAAAGACUGCCAUCGCUGCUACUCUAGGGAUCCAUCUGUGCUGUAACUGCUAACAUCGCCAGGACUUUGGGACAGUGCUCGGAUACUCUCAGCCUUGGGGUGCAUGUCCUGCAGAGUUCAGCAACCAGGGUGCUGGGCCUUCAUUUUAAAGGAAAGAGUAGAAUGGUUUUCAGAGAAGAUAGCACGCUUACGUGAUGGGUGCAUUCUCAUCCUUACCUCUCAACUGGCAAGUGUUGCGUGUGUAGCCCUGGAAGCUAUGGGUUGCUUUGUGCUUCCUGCCUUUUACUGUAGAACAUAAAUACAACCUGAACUCUGGAAUGCCAUGUUUGUGUGGGGAUGGUUGCUCUCAGGAAGAACAUACGCACAUGGUCAACACAGGCCACUCCUGGGGCCCACGGCUUGGAUUGUGGUCACCACAUGCUGCUGCCCAAACUUUGAGAACCCUGCUGUUCCUUCUGGCUGUUUGGGCUCUUGGCUCAGUGUGCACGGAGGGGAGAUAUGUUUGUAGAAAUACUGGGUGCGGUGGGUUGUCUUCUUUCUUAAUAUGAAGGGGCUUCUGUGUGCUCAUGGAAAAAGAGAGUUAAAGGAUAAUGUACACUUUCCACUAGCUUUUCACACCCUGUUGUUUUUCUUCUUGCCGUACAGACUUCCUCUACAUGGGGUUCCCUGGUACAUUUUGAUCUAUCCUAAGUGACUAUAGCUCAGUAACUGUCACAUCUAGACACCAAGGUUAUCAGUGUCGAGGCCAAAACAGAGGGAACCUGGGGCUUGGCACUUUUUGGUAACCUGCACAGUGAAGGAGAAAUGGAAUGAAUUGCCAUAUUUCCUGGUGCUUCUGGAAUAGUGUGGGUUUACUUUUUGCAGAGUUGAUCUGGGUCUCUUGCCCUAGAUCUUCCCAGCCAGGCCCUGUCACUGCUUAGAUGCAUAUGAUGCAGCUAGCUCUGGGCUUGGAGGCUGGGAGCCAGUGCACUGCUCUCCCGCUGAGGACUCAUUGACAGUGGAAAUCAUGAGCCACACUCGUAGCCAGCUGAGAGUUAAAUUUAAAAUCCCUCACUUACUCAGAGACCCACAUUUUUUUCUGGUUCCUAGCAUUAUAACAAAAAUAAUUGAAAUGGUGAGGUUAUCAAAAAUUGAUCUGGCUCUACAUCUGGGCUUGGUUCUAUGUCUGGUUCAUUGCCUCUUUGCCUAUACACAUCAGCCAACUUUUAAAUGCCUGAAAACAAUCAAAAGAAUAUUACAUUGUGACAGGUAAAAAUUACAUGAAAUUCAAACUUCAGUGUCCAUAAAUUCUAUUCUUUUCACUGUUAAGCCAAUAUUAAAUAAAACCUAUACAUAAUUAUUAUUGUAGUGAUUUUAAUUCAUAAGUAAAAAUUACAUAGAAAAAUAUUUUCUUUUUAAGCCGUGUACAAUAUUCUUGAUUUUACCACUUGUCCCACAAAGCCUAAAAUAUUUGCUGUGUUGCCCUUUAUAGAGGGUGUUUAUGGAUUUCCUCUCUUUAGUUUUCACAGUCUCAUUAGAUGAGAGACUUUGAAACUGGGUUGUAAUCCAUUAGUUUCUGGUAAAGUCAGUACAGAGCUUUGCAAAUGCCACCUUAUAAAUAAAUGAAGUAAAAAGGUAGGCAAUAUCUGAGGGCAUUGCAUGUGGCAGGGUUAAUGCGGCUUUAGGAUGUUUGUGUUCUGGAAAGAAGCAUACAGGUGUGCGUAUCCGUGUAAGUCAGGAGUCCCCCUGUCCACUGUAGAUUGGACCAUGUUAAAGGAGCCACAGCUCUGGACUGUGAGCUCUGUUUGGGAGGGGUCCUGUCUCGUUCAUCUUUGUUUCCAAGGGCUUGGAAAAAAUGUCAGGAAUCAAGACACUUUCAUAAGUGUUUGAAGAGAAUGAAUGAGUGCAGGGAACAAAUAAGACAUGAUUCUUGACCAUUUGGGACCCAGUUACUAGAUAAGCUGUGGUCAUGUUUUCAGGUCCUCAACUCAGCGCAUGUAAUUCCCUACAAUAAAGAUGUGUAUUUCAACGGGUGGACAGAUAAUGUGUUUUCUCAGUUAGAAGGUGGCAUAGUAGGCCAGAGUUGAGUGCCUGCGUGAAGGAAAGGGGGGCUGUGUGGUGAAUGUGGGCUGUGGAGUGGGGAGAGGCUCAGGCUGGGCUGCUGGGUGCAGGUGACAGCUCUGCCCUGAACCUCUGUGAAACGGGCUAGUCCAUCAGCACGGGGUGGGAGGAGUGAGAGUGACAAUGAUGCUGGAUCUGCACCUCCGCUGUAAGGUUCAGAGGAGAAAAUGCCCCGGUUUGAGUCCCAGCUUUGCUUUUAAUCCCAUCUUUCUGUUGAUGUGCACCCUGCAGUCAGUAGUGGCCAUGAUGGCUAAGUGGUGUGUUCCUGUCAACUAAAUGGGAAACGCAGAUUGAGUUCCCAGAUCACAGGCCCUUGAGCAGUAAACCAGCAUCUGGGAGUUCUGUCUUUCUCUUUGUCUCAAAGAAAUGGAAUAAAUAAAAUAGAUUUUAAAAGGAACUAUACAUCCAGGAAUGAAGAUAGCACUCAUUAUGCAUCAUAUGAAAAUAUUUGUAUCACAUCCCUUCAGUAGGCAAGGCACAGGCUAGGCAUGGUGGGGACCAGAAGUUCAGAUCAAGCGAGGACAUCAGUUAAGCUUGUGAGUCCUCAGAUUUUAGCAGGUGAAGCAAUAAAUCAUCUGAAAGUUCAAAUAAGACAUUCGCAGAGGGGAUAUUGUCAGGCCAGCCAUGUCUUUGUCAGUGUUCAGACUCACCGGGUGCUCUGGGCCGAGGUGGGAGUGGAGGUAGCGGCGAGAGGCACGUGAGUCUGGAAUCCAAGGGAAGGCCCAGUGUGGCUGUGGUAGUGGCAGCCGAAGGGGAAACCCCUGUGGAUGAAAAAGUCCCAUCUGAGUGAGUGACUCCCUGGGCUAAUUGGUGCAUUACUCUCAGUGAUGGGCCUGAUGGUGCUGAGAUAACAAAAUGAAAAAUCAAAUGAGAAAUGGAACCCCGGAGUCUAAAAAGUUAGUAAAUUUUGACAUUAGAAAUAUAAUCAAAUUUCACCAGUGCUUUUCUGUAGUGACAGCCAAAUCCAUCCGUGUCAGAGCGGCAGCCUAUGGUCUGUGAUUUCCUGUGGCUUUUCUUCCCCCUUUCUCUUUUCCUUUUGCAAAAUCAGCAUUAGGCUAUUUGGAGGACAGGCGAGAACUAUUAUGUUAAAUUGUGCUACCUACAACUUAAGCUUCUGUCUUUGCUAAAGCUGCCAGUUUUUAUAAACAACAGAAGACAGAAAGGGUUUACUAAGAAUAAUGUUGAAGCCCAAAAGAAUCCUACAGCCUAUAAAUCUUAAUAGAGGUUCUGAGAUUCCAGCAGGCUGGAUGUGUCUCUUUUACCCAAGCUCACUCCAUCUUGGCUCCCCCGUGAUGACUCCAAUUUUCUUGAAACACAGGCACGGCGCCUUGAAUUUACUUGUGGCACUAUUUGCCUACAAACAGGAAUACAUGCAUAUAACCUAUGCAAAUCAAUAAAAACAUGUCAAGACCCCUUAGAUCGCACAGCUCUCCUAAAAUGCAAUUUAUCUUGCUGCAAAUGAGAGUUAGAGACUAGGUAACAAAUAGCGUCUGAUCAUUUAACUUGCACCUGUUGUCAGUGCAUUUGAAAACUGCAUUUUUCAUUUGACAUACAGUAAAUUGUAUUUUCAUAUAUAUUGAAUGGAAAGGGGAGUUGGGAUGUACAUAUGCAGCUCUUUAUGAAUUUUAUCAACAAUGGCUAUUUUAGAGCUGUGUGUUUAAAGGGGUCACGCCAAAUGCGGCAGCUCCGUUCCUCCCAACCGACUUUUCUUUUGGCUGGGUGCUGAAAUGCAGCAGUGCUGAAAGUAUAAUUAUAACGUUCAUGUUAGGUGAAGGACAAUUACUAUAAUUUUUGUAUAAAAUUGAAUUUAACUUAAAUGUGUAAAUGUGAAAUAUUAUUUUUGAAAAAAAAGUUUCUCAGAGGAAAACUGCUUUUAAUAAAUUACAUUUUUCAGUCAGUCCCUCUGUCGGCUUAAAUUAUGAGCCACAGGCUUUUUUUAAAUUUUAAUGCGAUAUUUUGUUUGCAGAUGGGUGGCUGUUGCACAAAUUCAGCAACGCUUAGGCUUAUCAGCAACAGUGGUGUUCACAUUAGUGAGCAUGGUUUGGCAAUAUUAUUUGACAUCUGGAACAAGCUAUAUUAUACCAGACAUAUCAAGUAUAACUGAAUGGAUCAUUUAACUGGCAUUUGUUUCAAAAACUCCCACUCUUCAGCUUCCUCCUGGCUGGCAUGAUACGCUGGCAGUGAAUCCCAUGCUCCCCCAGCUUCAACUCUCCUCUGCCUGCGACAGUCUCAGGCUCACUUCCCACCCGAAGUUGGGGUUUUCUAAUUGUAGCGUUGAGGCCAGGUCCUGACCUCUUGUUUUUGGAGACGGCCAUGAUGCCAGGCAGUUAGACUGCUCAGGGAUUUUAACCAAGAACUAGGCCAUGAAUUGUACCAUUGACCUUUUCUUUGAUUUUGAGUUCUUGAGUGCAGGCAUCUGACACAUCUAGUUUUGUUUUGUUUUCUUUUUUUUUUUUUUUAAAGCUGUGUGUCAUGGGGAGAUCUGUGCCAAUGUAUUUUAUGUAACGUGAUAGAGGGAAAAGAUAAUGGGCAAGGGCUUCUUGCAUUGCAUCCAUAAAUAAAAGAACCACAUGGGGGCAGAGAGGGAGAAACUGGAAGUAGGAGGAAAUGCUAAUAGCAGAAUUUUCAUGUUUAAAAUUUCUUUUAAUCUGUCUGGGUAAUCAAUCGCUCAUAGCAAUUUGGUGUGUACAAAUAUAGUUACAGUUUGGGGGCUUACCCCCAAUGUUUCAUAUCAACACUAAUGACAUGCUUUGCUGAUCUUCCUAAGGAGUUUACCCCUUAGGAUCUCAAAGGCACAAUCAGAUGACAAAACUGCAUGAGAUUGUUUCACUUCUUAUUUGCUUUUGUGUAUUUAUUGGUUUAAGAUGGAAGUUUCUCUUCUUAAAUUCAAAAAUGGUCAGAUUCCACACAGCUAAGCAAGUAAAUUCUUACCAACUAUUCAAAAUAGUUAAAGGAUGAGGAGGGCUUAUUAAGAAAAGUGAAGAGUGAACAAAUAAUCAAGAAACGUCAAAAGACAAUUGAUGAAGUUGAUAAAGGACUUCUUAGGUAUAAUGAGAAGCACCAUAGGUUUAACCUUGUUUCUAUUGCACUUGGCAAAAUUCUUUUCAUCAAUGUCAGCAAAUCGGAAGUUGAGGCUUGAGGCUCAUAAGGUCUUUUUUCAGUGUAACUGAAAGGAACAAGUCAGAGUUGUCAGAGUGCUGCAAAGAGAGAAACAACCUUAGCCCUUUUAACAUUCCCACGCAGGUCGCUUAGAGACAAAUUCAUUCAUUUGGUCGAUGUUUCAUUCACUGCACAAAUCUUUCUCCAGCAUCAAAUAGUAUGUUUAACAUGACUGUGAAAGCACCUUUUGAAGUGUGGAGUAGAAGUAAAAGCAGAAACAGCAACAAAACCCACAGUAGAACAAACCUGCUUAUAAUGGCACCAAAAUAAUAAAAUACUUGGGAAUCACUAACCAAGCAUUGAAAGACUUGUACUCUGAUAACUACACAACAGUGCUGAAAGAAAGCAAAGAUACAAAUAACUGGAACGACAGCCUAUGAACACAGAUUGGGAUAUUUAAUUCAAUUAAAAUGUUAGUACUGUGCAGGGCAAUCUACAGGUCAGUGUAGAUUAAUACCUAUCACAAUCACAAUGGCAUUUGGGAGGAAGAAAUAGAAAAAAAAAUACUAAAAUUAUAGGGAAAUUCAAGGGACCCUGAAUGAAUAGCUAAAACAGUUUGGAAACUGAUUUCAAAACAUUUACUAAGCAGCAGUAAUCAAGAUGGUGUGGCACUGGUAUAAAUACAGAGAUAUGGAUCAGUGAAGUCAAACAGAGAGCUCAGAGAUAAAUGCUUGUGUACAUGGUCAAAUGGUUUUUUAUUUGUUUAUAAAGACAUGAAUUGUUCGUUUUUUUUUUUUAAGAUUUAUUUAUCUAUUUGAAAAUCAUUGUUACAGAGAGAGAGGGAGUGACAUAUUUUGGGAAGGAAACAACUGGUUCCUUCCCAAAAUGGCCACAAUGGCCAAGGCUAAGCCAGGCCGAAAAGCUGGGAGCCAGAAGCUUCUUAUGGUCUCCCAUGUGAGUGGCAGGUUCCCAAACACUUGGACCAUCUUCUGCUGCUUUUCCCAGGCUGUUAGCAGGGAGCUGAAUUGGAGUGGGACAUCUGGGACAAGAGCCAGCAUUCAAAUAGGAUGUUGACAUUACAGGUGGUGGCUUACCUGCUGUAUCACAGUACUGACCCCCGGUCAAAUGUAUUUUGACAAAAGUGCCAAGGACAUUUUGUAUAACAAAUGGUGUUGGAGAAAUUAGACAUCUACAAGCAAAAGAAUUAAGUUGGACCCUUAACUUUUACCUUAUACAAAUAUUCAUUCCAAAUAGAUGAAAGACCUAGGCAUAAGACCUAAAAUUAUAGAGCUUCUAGAAGAAAACACAGUAAAAAAAAAAAAAAUUGAAUAGACUUGGAAGUGGUUUCUUGGAUAUCACACCAAAAGUACAGGGAACAAAAACCAGAAAUAGAUAAAUGGCAUUACGUUAAACUUAAAACUUCAGUAUAUCAAAUGAAAAAAUACAAUUAAAAGACAACUUCUGAAGUGGGGAAAAUAUUUGAAUAUCAUAUAUAUAUAUACAUAAAGGAUUGAAUCUAGUAUACACAGCGAAUUCUACCACUCAGCAACAACCAAAUCACUCCAUUAAAAAAUGGAGUAAGGACUUGAUAGACAGUUCUCUAAAGAAGAUAAUGCAAGUGGCCAACAAGCAUAUGAAAAGAUGCCCAAUAGCAUUGGUCAUAAAACAAAAGAAAAUCAAAACCACAAGAUUGCACUUCACACUCAUUAGGAUGUCUACUAUCAAAAGAAUGAGAAAUAACUUCUCGGCAAUGAUACAGAGAAGUUGAACCCUUUGUGUCUUACGAAAAUGUAAAGUGGUAUAGCUGUUGUUCAAUAUAAUAUGAAGGCUCCUCAAAAAAUUAAUGGUAAAAUUACAUGAUUCAGUAAUCCCACUUCUGCAUAUUUGUACAAAAGAAGUCAAGUAGGGUCUUAAAAAAGUUAUUUUUCUACCUGUGUUCAUUCAUCCUUGCAUUGUUCACAAAGGGAAGCAUAAAGGAGCAACUGAGAUAUCCAGCAAGGUAUGAAUGGAUACAGAAAAUGUGGUCUGUAUGAGGAGUCUUAAAAAACUUUGUGAAAAAUAUGUACAAUGAAAAAAGUGUGAGGAUUUCUUUUCCUGCCUCCUCCUUCAUGGGACUCCAUACAUGUCUGCCGAUAAACUUUUAAAUCAUAAAUCUCUGGGAUAUCCCAAGUACAUUAUGACUUUAUUGCUACAUUAGUGCUCUAGUUAUCUUGUCUAUCAGACUUUAGCUGCAGUCUGGGCAGGAAAAGCAAUGCACUGUAGGACAACCACCUGCGCUUCUCUUCUGUGUAAGUUUCAUGUGGCUCAUAACCUUCUCUUUGAAAAGCAAAGCUGUCUCUGGACUUUGUCCUCAGAUCCAUUCUUGCUUUUCUGCUUUGCUCUCUGUCACAGGGAGCUGUCCUCUGGGGGAGCAUUUCCCAGACUCCCUUGUCAGCUGGCUUCCUAUUGGGUUUGACCAGUGGGAGGGAGGCCUUGUGGAGACUGGAAGGUGGGAGGAAGGGGUAAGCCAGAGCAUUUGCUUCUGUACCCACUCUGCCACUAAUGGCUUCUCCGGCAUGGCAGGAUCCCUGCUGUGGCUCUGAUGUCUGUAGGGUAUGUUCUUGCAUAGCUUGUUGGUAACGCUUGCUCCAGUUUUUCCACUUUGUGGCCUGAGAGUAGUAGUGAUUUCUUGCUGUUGCUUCUUCCUUGCUGUAUGUUCAAUUCUGUGCAUUUAAUUCCUUCUGUUGCAAAUAUGUAAGCAAUGCUUCUUUUGUGGUUUUGACCUUAACUCACAGGUUUUUAAGCCUUGAGAAAGCCCUGAUCAACUCUACUGAAAAAAAAAAAUACUAAUUGAUGAAGGAAAGCAAGACAGAAAACUGACAGUGUCAGUUUCAGUUUGGACACACUGCUUGCUCUGUGGCCAAAGGUGAGAGCCAUUGAUGACAGUGUGAAGGUGGGCUGUGGGCUGUUUUCUUGACUGUAAAUUUGCUUGUGGUAGUAUGUAUGUUUUUUUAAACAGUAGUUUUUCUAAAAAAAAUUUAUUUAUUUAUUUGAAAGUCGGAGAAGGAGAUGUAGAGAAUGAGAUCUUCCAUCUGCUAGUUCACUUCCCAAUUGGCUGCAUUGUUGGAGCUGUGCCAAUCUGAAGCUAGGAACCUGAAUCUUUUGCGGGGUCUCCCACACUGGUGCAGGGGCCCAAGGAGGCCAUCUUCUGCUGCUUUCCCAGGCCAUAGCAGAGAGCUGGAUCAGAAGUGGAGCAGCCAGGUCUCAAACCGGUGCCAAUAUGGGAUGCGGGCACUUCAGGAGGUGGCUUUACCUGCUACGCCACAGCACAGGUCACAGUAUGUAUGUUUUGAAGUGAGGUGGAAAUAAAUGCUUAAAGCUUAGACUGUAUUUUGUAUCAUGAAUGUGAUAAACACAGUGUUUUCAUAUUAUCAAAACUCCUGCAGUAAUCACUCAGCAUGGUUACUUAGUCCAGUUUAUAUAGCCAUACUUAUCAUAUGAGCAUCUUGACAAUAUGGCAACAGGUUAGACAUAAAGUAGAAAGAGAUCCAAGGUAUGCUGAUAAGAUGCCUAGAGCUUGGGAAUACAAAGGUUAAAAGCUCAUCCACGGGGCUGGCGUUGUGGCAUGGUUAGUACAGCUGCCGCCUAUGACACCAGCAUCCCAUAUGGGCUCCAGUCUGAGUCCUGGAUGCUCCACUUUUGAUCCAGCUCCCUGCUGAUGGCCUGGGAAAAGCAAUGGAAGAUGGCACAAGUAUUUGGGUCCCUGCAACCACAUGGAAGAUCCAGAUGGGGCUACUGGCUCUUGGUUUCAGCCUGGCCCAGUGCUGGCAAUUGCAGCCAUCUGGGAGUGAACCAGUUGAUGGAAGAUCUGUCUCUAUCUCUCUCCUUCUCUCUCUUAACUCUGACUUUGAAAAUAAAUAAAUCUUAAAGAAAACUCAUCAUUAUCUUAAAUUUAUAUUACUCUAUAUAGCCGUUUUUGCAUCUUGAGAGUUUAAAAAGUAAGGUAGAGUUAAUAUAAAAAUUAUAAAGGAUGCAGCCUUUUCCUUUAGCAGUCUUAAUUCCCUUUUGCAAUAUGUUAGAGGUACCCCAGCAAAACGGCAAAUGUCCUGUUAGUUUCAGGAGUUGUUCCUAUUCAAACUUCAUGUUCAGAAAUGGAAGUUAUUUUCUCCCUUCUUUUUUUUUUUCCUUUCCAGUUUCUAAGCUGCCAAGAUUUGCUGCAUGGGGGAGAAUCUUGUCUUUUCCUGUUACUUCUGUAAUACUGUCCCAUUCUCCUGAGGGGUAGAAUUUGGCCUGAGAAAAUCACUGUAGAAUAGUACAGAAAAUAUCAACAUCUAAACAGUAACUUAGUGAAUAAUGUUGAUUUAUCAGAUGCACAGGGUGCCAAAGUUUACCAUCCAAGGGAGCCUAUGAUCUAAGGGACCAGAUUACACCAAGGCUUAGGGGCUUGAACACAGAACAUACAGUCUUUUUUUUUUUUUUUUGUGAAAGGACAGGGAAGUAGUUUAAAGUGGGGUCUUUCCAAAAGUAAAAAAAUAAAGCUUUAAAAGAAUUAUUGUGUCUUUUUUAACUUUGCCUAGAAGUGGAUCAUUUUGGUAGUGGUGGUUGUUCAACAUGAUUGAAUAUGAUUGGGUAGGAUUACUUGCUGAUGGGGCUUAAUUGUCUCAUGUUUAAAUGUGAUCCAUUAUCUUGUGUCUGGAGCAUAUUAAAAUGACUUUAAAAUGAGAAGCAAGGGAACUCUGAUUGUUUUAGCCCAAAUGUGCCUGUUUAUUGAGUUGAAAUAAGGGGUGCUGGGAUACUGUCAUACUAAGAUUCUGUUGAUGUUCUGAUCUCAGGGUUAUAGGACUAGCUCAGCCCCGGUGAUGACAGAACUCAUCAGACCACAAAGGUGACUCUGGGUUUGUUGUUUAUUUUUCUCGCCUCAUCCUGUUUGGGCUUCCCUCUUGGUUUCUUUCUUUUUUUUUUCUUUUUGUUUUUUCUCUCCCUUCUUUCCUUCCACCUCAAAAAUCCAUCAGCUUGCAAUACCCCUGAUAAAACUGGUUUAUAAUGCUGACCAAAUUUCCUGGUUUCAGCCAGCUGUUCGUUUUUUUUUUUUUUUUUUUUUUUCUUGUGGAAGGCCCCAAACUCUUCUCACUACUUGUUCUGAAGAUAAAUUAGCGACUUCUAAAUAAUGCAGUGAACCCUAAUUCUCUUUGAUUAGUAGAGAGUUAGAUGAUAGCGACCCAUUGAAAUUGGCCAUCAGCAUAAAUAAUGAGUGAAUGAACUGAUAAAAUGCAAAGUCACCGGCCGUCAUAAAUCAAAUGAAAUCCACUUUCUCUGGAAGUCACUGAAAUUAGAAGUCCAUGCUCCUAUUAAUUAUUUUGCCUUCUGAAGACGACAGUGUUAUAAAUCAGCCUUGAAAGGCCCUUCACUUAGAAAGCUGAAGGAGUACGGCUGCCUGCAAAUUGCUUUGUGUACGCACCUAAUUGUUUCUUAAGUAAUCCACCUAUGCAGCAGGGCUUUGUGAGGCUAGGACCGUCCCUUCUGUUGAGAUCUGGAGUGUGGACUGGGAAGGGCCUGGAGAAGGUGUUAGGAAGGGCCCCAUUGGAGUGGGCAGUUAUCCACCCCUUCCCUAGGAGUGAUGUUCUCACAUUCCUUGUGACUCAAACCCCAUCUGCUGGGCCCCAAGUGGUUUCCUAUGGCAGAAUCCAGAAGGCUGGCCCAAGGCCCUGGACCAUUACAUCAUCUUGUCUCACUCAACCUCCAGCCAGGCCUGAAAGCCAAACUGCACUUAAUUUCAGUGAAAAUCAAGAUUUUUAAAGCUGGGGAAACAUCAGAGAUCAAAAACAUUGACAUCUCGGGUUCAUUUUCAGAGUUAUUAUCUGCAUAUACGAGGGGGGAAAUGAUGUAUAAUUUUUACUAACAGGUGGAUGGGAAAUUAUAUUCGCUUAGGAGCCUAUUUGUAACAGACAUUGAAAAAGAAACAUUUUGCAGAAAAGAGCUUAAUUACAUGAUAGAAAAUGUUGUAAAUUAGUUUCAUUUAAGAACACAACCUGUCAUAUCUCAAGUUCUGAAGUUGAAACUUAGAAAACAGCAACAAGAACAAAAACCAGUGCUGGGGCUGGUAUUGUGACACAGCAGGUUGAGCCACCACCUGCAAUGCCACCGUCCUAUAUGGGAGCCAAUUCCAGUCUCGACCAUUGUGUUUCUUAUCUAGCUCCCUGCUAAUGCACUGGGAAAACAUUGGAGGGUGGUUUAGUACUUGUGUUUCUGCCACCCACGUGGGAGACCUGGGUGCAGUUCCAGGCUCCUGGCUUUGGCUUGGCCCAGCCCUGGAUGUUGCAGCCAUUUGAGGAUGGAAGAUCUCUCUCUCUCUCCCUCUCUGUCACUCUGCCUUUCAAAUAAAUAAAUGAAUAUCUUAAAGCAAAACAAAAAUAGGACUCCCCUAGGGGUGAUCGGAAGAAUUUGGUCCAGCUUUGAGAUAGAACAGAGCUGACAAAGGAAAUUCUCUGCUUCUCCUUGAGUGUGGGUGGCUUUUGUUGGCUUCUACAGAGAGAUGGAUGGGCAGGUUUGUGGGAUACAGACAGACUUCUGAGACAGGCUGCCUCCUGAGACCCCCACCUGCUAGUUCACUAGAUGGUGAGUGUCCAGGAUACUUCAAGUAUCAUCUCCGCAGAUGGGUGUUGGGUAGGGUAGGAUUUUUAAGAAAAAGCAUUCUUUUCUCUGUUCCUAAAUUUCUUACCAUCUGAUGCUAGAUUCCUCUGGUUGCUGAUACAAUAAAUGUAAAUUCUGGUCCUGGAAAAUGAAAAUGAUCUAGAUUGUAAGAAGCACAUUCUCUUUUUGGGGCUGUGAUAAUCUGUUGUCUGGACUUUGAUGAAUCAUCCAUAAUGUGUGUGUGCACUCCUCUGUCUGUCUAGCUGGAAAACAAUGUAGCAUUCAAGUGAGCAUUGUGAAUUCCUGCAUGUGACUGUGUUCUGGUGUUGAGGUUAGUUGCCACCAGAUCAUCUGCGAAUCUGAAUGACCCAUUCUGCAAACUAAACUUAAUGAUGUAUAAUUGAGCAUUAUGUCAUGAAGCAGAAAGGAGCAAUUACUCCCUGGGAUAUUGGAUCCUGAAUGCAAAGAUGGUCUGGGCUGUGUCCUUGAAACCAGCCGAGUCUGUAAUUUUGCAGGGAUGCCAGGGGCCAUCCCAUGCCACUGGGAUGGGAAGACAUCCUCAUCCCCAGGGUACCCCCAGAGCUGCCUGAUCCCAGCCACUGGGCCUUUCCAAUGUCUGCCAGCCUCCUCCACAUGACAGUAGAAUUCUGCUUGCUGCAGGCGAGGUGCCAUGGAAGGAAAAAGCAGCUCAUGGUUUUCCUGGCCAGUGUUUGAAAGCCCAGGUGGCACCAAGCAUUGUUCCGUGCUCUGGGUGGAGUGAGGCCUCUGUGGUAAUCCCUUGCCUGGGAAAGGGGUGUUGUGUUUCUGUGUCAGUCCUCUCCUUGCCUGUCUUAGGUUUAGAGUCGUGGUUACAAGGAGGGGACAUGUGAUGAGGAUUUGUCGAUGGUUGGAAACAGUAGUGGCAGAGGAGGAGGUCCCACCUAGGCUAGUAGUACUAGUACCUUUUGGCUGUGUUCUGAGGUUUGUAGAAAAGAAGGAAGAUCCUAACAAUCUAUACGAUUGUCCUCCUGGCAGAGAGCAUUUAUUGCUCAGGGUUUAUAGUUUUUAGGAUGUCUGUUUUUUUUUUUUUUUGGGGGGGGGGAGGUGCUGUUUCUUUGUUUAUGAUAUGUAGCCUGUUUCUCUGGGCUCAUCUCUAUUUAUGCUUUUUUUUUCCCUUAGUAUAAUUAUUGACAGGGUCUUUCUGUUCCUUUUACUCUCAGAAGUGUUCAUGUUUGGCCAACCAGCUUAUAUGCAAUACUAGAAAGGAACUUUUGUGUUAGUUCUCCCAGUCCUCUGGAGACGGUGGUAUAAUGAAAGGAUCCAGGCUUUGGAAAUAACGUGGGCUUUGAGCUGACCCCGUGGCGUAUGAUCUUGGGCAAGGUAACUUCUCUCAGUGUCUGUUUCUUCAUCUCUGAAUGGGGACCCCUGUACAUUUCUUGCAGACCAGUCCUGGGUGGUGAGUACAGUAAUGUGUAAAGGGUCUUGCAGGUGGUUGGGUACUUGGAAGGAUAGAGCAUAAAUGUUUGUUCUCUGCUUUGCUUUGGAAUAAGUGGUAGGAGGCCAGAGGUUUUGUAAUGUUUCUGAACAUGACUUCAAGCUGUUGCAAACAGUGAAAGCAUUGGCCUGGCAUAGCAGAGAGAGAGAAAAAUCACCCCUUUGUCACUCUGGUGUGGAGUAAAGCAUGUUGUCUUCGAGGAAAGAUCCUCCCCCACAGGGCUCUUGGAAUGCUCGAUAAAGACGCAAAAAGAUGCCCACAUUAGAAGGAGCUGAAUUUGUUGCUAGGUUAAACCCAGGGUUGAUUUAGCACCACUAGCAAAAGGAACAGCAGGCUUCCAUGGGGUGCCAUGAAGACUUUGCUGCUCAAAUAUGAUGUGAUGGGGAAAGUAAUCAGUUGGUAUCGAAACCUCUGUCUCUUCAUCUCUAAAAUGGGAAUAAAAGGUUGCAGUGAGAAUUAAAAGAGGUCAUAAAAGUCAAUACGCAUAGCACACUAUAGAGUGCUGGGCACAUGCAGAAAACGCUAUUUCUCAUGUUUGUGCAGAGUUCCAGCACCAAAUGACCUGAACGCUGGCCCAGGGGACAUGGCCCCAUGAGGCAGUACCAUUCCACAUCGUAAGACUCACACGUCUUUAGGAGCACGUUCACCAGGACUCCUCCUGUCUUCUCUUGUUGCAGGAGGGCAUGCACAGCUCUGUUUUACUGGCCCAACAGGGCUUGGCUUUUUACAGCAACUGUGCUGCUUUAUGGAGAUUAGUAUUCUCUUUUACACUUUUAAUUAGAAAGAGCAAAAAGGAUUUUUUUCCCUUGGGGAUUCCAGCCCGGGUGACUAAAGUCAAUGGAGGAAGGAUACUGAGUGUAGGUGGCCAGGCCUGGUUGUUUGUGGGACUCUGACUCCAUGUAACCCGCUGGCUGCCUUGGGGAACACAGACUGUGAGUCCCUUGGUCCCUGCCCACUGGCAGUGCCCUGGCCAAUAGGUCUGCUCCUGCUGGGUACCCUGUACCACGUCAGUAAAGGGCAGUGUGGAGUUCAUGCUGGACCAGUUGUAAAGAUACUCACAGCUUGCAGGAGCCCUUGGAAGGAGAGGGUAAAAUAUAUCCAUGCAUAUGCACACCCGUCCCUUCUAAUACCUACAGAAUCAUUCCCUUCCCUGCCUCUCUCCUUACCCUUUUCACUGAUCAUCACAGCACAGUCUGGCAGUGCAGAAGUCUCCGCCCAGACUCAGAACUGGAUGGGACUCUGUGUUACAUUUAUUAACUCCACAAAGCACUUAAUAAGUGCUAAGUAAUGGCAAUGAGUGGUUGGGUUGUUGCUGUUGUGUUGUGUUUUACAAAUUUCAAAAUUAAAUUACAAUGAAUUUUUUGGAUUUUUUUUGUGGGUGAUGUUGCUCUGUCCUUUUUAUUUGUUGUAAAUUAAUUUUUUUUAUUAUUUGACAGAGUUAGAGAGAGAGAGAGAAAUAAAGGUCUUCCUUCCAUUGGUUCACCCCCCAAAUGGCUGCUACCACCAGUACUGCGCCGAUAUGAAGCCAGGAGCCAGGUGCUUCCUCCUGGUCUCUGAUGUGGGUGCAGGGGCCCAAGCACUUGGGCCAUCCUCCACUGCCUUCCCGGGCCACAGCAGAGAGCUGGCCUGGAAGAGGGGCAACUGGGACUAGAACCCAGCACCCAUAUGGGAUGCCGGUGCCACAAGGCGGAGGAUUAACCAAGUGAGCCGUGGCGCCGGCCCCUGUAAAUUAAGUUUUAACUCCACAAGUACAAUAUCCUUCUUACUGACUCCUCACUGCUAAAGUUCAGUUCUUUUUUUUUUUUUAAGAUUUACUUUAUUUAUUUGAAAGAUAGAGUUACAUAGAGAGAAAGAGAGGAAGAGAUAGAUAGAGAUCUUCUGCCUGCUGGUUUACUACAGCGCUCACAUGGGAUGCCAGCAUUGCAGGCAAUGCCUUAACCCAUUUUACCACAGUGCUGGCCUCAAGACUCUUGUUGACUGCCUCUUCUCUCCAGUCUCAUCUUCAGAGGUAACCACAGUCAUUUGCAGUUUCCUUGUCCCCUUCCUGGGGAUUUAUAUACCUCCUCCCCCAAAAUAUAUAUAUGUACACCAAAGAGUUUAUAUAUAUAUGUUCAGCAGCUUCUUGCUUUCAUGCAGUGGUGUUUAAGAUGUCUUUUCAGAUCAGUAUCUAUAGAUAUACCUGUAUUUUUUGACUUUUGUGUAAUGUCAACAUUCAUCUGGCCAUGAGGUUUCUAAUGGGCAUUUUGGUAGCUGGUUCUUUUUCCUGGUCACAUCAGUAGUGGGUGGCUUUGUUGUGAGUCUUUUGUGUGCAUUUACACAUGUUUGUCUUGUAUGUAUGAUGAGAAGUAAAAUUACUUAUUCAAAAUAUAGGUGCAUUUUAAAAUGUUGCAUGUUUUAACAAUAGUCACUUCUUUCAUGAUGUAUAGAAAGUACCCUUUGAUCUGGGCCCCCGCUAGUAUUUCAUACUAGUACACUUUAAGUUAUCUGCUGGUGUGACAUAGGAUAUGUCACUACCAUGUUUAAUUUUUACCUUACUGCCAAGCUUGAAAAAAUUUUCCUGUGUUGUCUGUCUUUUAAACAAACUUUCUAUUGUGAAUUGCCCUUAGCGUUUGUCAAUUUUUCUGUUGGUUUUUGUGACUUUUACUUACUGAUUUCCAGUCUCUGUAUAUUCCGGUUUUACUUGGCCUUGUGUCUCGUGUACUGCAAAUAUGUUCUAAUUUGUUGCUUCUAGCUUUAUGGUGUCUUUUAUUACAUGAAGGUUUUUAAUUUUGAUGCCUUCAGAUUAAUGUGUCUUAUCUUGAUGCUGUUUACAUCUUAUUUCAGGCUGCCCUGAUCCUUUGGCCAUAAACAUAUUCUCCUGUAUUUCUCCUAAAACUUUUAUCUAAUUUUACCCUUUUGGUCUUCAUCCAUUGAUUAUUUUUCUUUUGAUGAGUUAUUUUAUGUUUAUGUUGAGCUUAAAAUUCAUUUUUUCCUCCUAAACAGGUAGCUAGUUGAUCCAGCACCAUUUGUGUUUAGGCCACUUUGUCUACUACAUUGAAAUGCUAUUUUUAUCACAUAUAAAAUUUCAAAUUAUACAGAAAGUCAUACUUUCUGUUCUGUUCUAUGGCCUAUUUGUGUGUUUGCUACACAUAGCAUUAAAAUGAAAUAAUGCCCAGCCGACCGACAAUGUUGUGAGAGGAGCCUGAGUGGUGACCUUGAGAAGCCAGGUAAUUAUUUUGGCUUCAGCCAAACUGGGUUCUCUAGAGCCCAAGGACUACAUUAGGCUCUUGUAUUCUUGGAGAUCCAGAUUGUUAAGAUGUUUGCAACUCUUCUCUGGAAGCACACUGGUCUUGUGUGACCCUUUUUUUUUUUUUUUUCUCCAGUCAUUUGUGAACUUCUCACUGGCUCCAAUUGAGGUAGAAGGGUCCAAGUGAUAUUUUGUGGAGGGCAAGGGGGAGUGUGCAUCAGAAGAUACAGAUUUCAAUUUUAAUUGUGCUGCGAGUCUGUGGUCACCAAUAGCUCAGCCUCUCUGUUAGGCCUGGGGCGUUGGCUCAGGCCUGCUAGUUAUUGACUGUGGGGAUCUGGGGUAAUGGUUUACCUUCUCUAUCUCAUCUGUUAAUAGAGAUAUUAACACUUUGCUUCUAGAGUAGUUUUAUGGGAUUUUUAUACCAACGAUGUUUAAGAUGGUGUUUUGUUAGCAGCCCUAAAGCACUAUUAAAACUAGAACUACAUACUAAUGUGUACAGGCUUUGUUUUUGUUUUGGUCCAAUGAAGAUAAUAAAUCUUGGUCUCACCUGCGUCAAAGACUGUUGUGAGUGUCAAAUGGGGUGUGCUUUGAUAAAACUGAAAUGCCAUACAAAUUAUUUAUUGCUGAUGAAUACCAACAGGUGAACUGGAAUUGUUAAAUAUUAACCAAGCCCACAGGGUUACUGUCAUGAAGGAGGGUUGUAUUAAUGGGGUAUCUACAGGGGAAAAUUACUACAGAAAGAUUUAUGGGGUUCCUUAAGUCUUUCCUCACUUUCUGAAAAAAGGUAUAGGGAUGGUCCCUUGAGAGGGUGUAGAUGGUCCUUAAGUGUGGGCCGGUGCCGUGGCUCACUAGGCUAAUCUUCUGCCUGCGGCGCCGGCACCCUGGGUUCUAGUCCCGGUUGGAGCACUGGUCCUGUCCCGGUUGCUCCUCUUCCAGUCCAGCUCUCUGCUGUGGCCCAGGAAGGCAGUGGAGGAUGGCCCAAGUGCUUAGGUCCUGCACCUGCAUGGGAGACUAGGAGGAAGCAUCUGGCUCCUGGCUUCAGAUCGGCACAGUGCGCCAGCUGUGGCGGCCAUUUGGGGGGUGAACCAACAGAAGGAAGACCUUUCUCUCUGGCUGUCUCUCUCUCACUGUCUAACUCUGACUUUCAAAAAAAAAAAUGUGAAUAACAGGAGAGCGAGUGCUAUAAGGAGCUCUUGUACCAGGAGAACCAAGAGGCAGAGUGGAGUUAGUUGCUUGUUCCCUUAUCAGUGGCAAUGUCUGCUUUUUAUUAACUAGAAAAAUGGAAUGUUCAUUUUUAUUUACAAAUUGUGGGAGCUUAUCUUUAUUCCUUAUUUUCUUUUUUUAAAGAUUGUAUCAGUUUGUUUGAGGGGUAGAGUUACAGACAGUGAGAGGGAGAGACAGAGAAAGGUCUUCCUUCCGUUUGUUCACUCCCCAGAUGGCCACAACGGCAGGAGCUGCGCCCAUCUGAAACCAGGAGUCAGGAGCUUCUUCUGGGUCUCCCACAUGGGUACAGGGGCCCAAGGACUUGGGCCAUCUUCCACUGCUUUCCCAGGCCAUAGCAGAGAGCUGGAUUGAAAGAGGGGCAGCUGGGACUAGAACCGGCACCCAUCUGGUAUGUUGGCGCCGCUGCAGGCAGAGGUCUAACCUACUGUGCCAGGUGCUGGCCCCUAUUACCUAUUUUCUUCCACUUGCAUGUUGAUCUUAAAUCUAGCCAAACUUAGAAUACUAAGACUUUGAAUAUUAAAGUGAAAAACUAGACAAAGAGAAAAGCAAUGGCUUGCUAGUUUUUUUACAAAAAUAUUAUUAUAGAAACAGCCUUUUCUCAUCUGUGAGUGGGGAGAGGUAUUAAAAGAGGUGAACAGAUCCAUAUGUGGCCCCAGAUAAGCCACACUUCCCUGUGCACACAUCUCAGUGUAGUUCCAUGACGUGUUGACUUUGGAUUUGGACUUGACCAAUGGGAUGAUAGCAAGGAUGUAAUGCAAGCAGAAGCUUAUUGAGUGCUUAUACAUCAGACUUCUUGGAAUGUUUGGUCUUGGCAUCUGCUUACCAAGCGGAGAUGGUCUGUCUAGGCCUAUGGCAAGAGAGAGGUCAUAGCUCCCAGCAUCUCCACCAAGGGCCUGAUAUGUAAGUACAGGUGUCUUAGACAUGUGAAUCCUUGUCACCACCUGAUAGCCAACACACAAGAGACUUGAGGUGAGACACAUGGAACUACCCAUUUGAACUCCUGUAAGCCCACAGAAUUACAGGCACAUAAAAGUCAAUGUUGAAGUUUACAUUUGUUAGGGAGCAGUAGUUAACCAAAACUCCAGUUUAAGACACACAUACACACAUUUAUUUAACAUAUGAACACUAACUGGUUUUUUAUAUGUGAAAAGCUGGUAUUUUUGAAUUUGGGUUUAGGCUGUUUUAUCAGGAGACUCUUAACUCUUCCCCCCUUAAUUUAGUUCGUCCUCAAAGUGAGGCAUUGCAUUUUGGAUUUGUUGGUUUCCACAAGGCAAAGGUAGUAAAAGAAGCAUUUGUUGAUUUCCCAGUUCCCUUUGUGUCAGGCUCCCUAGGUACAUAAGGGCCCAUGGCAGUCAUUGGCUGAGUAAGGGUGUUUAUUUCCACAGCUUGUGUGUCGGAGGGAACCUAGAAGGAUUUAUAAAUCCAUCAUUUCAAGUCAUUAGGCGAUAUGUUGGUCAGUACAGGGGACUCUUCUCAUUAAUUCAGGGGAGAUUUACUUGUGUCACCCUCAUUAGUAUUUAUGGGAUUUAUCCACAUCAAUCGCUAGUGCAUUAACAGGGAAAUAACUAAACCUCCCAGGGUUUGUUGGCGCUAAUAAAAUGAGCUGGAAGUUCCAGAAAUCACCAUGAUCAGAAGUAUUCUAAACCAGCGCCUGUAAUUGAUCCUUUCAAAGCCCCCUCAGGAUGUUUCCUUGUCUGCUUCCCCUCCAGUGGUAUUUGCAUAUUAGCGUGGUGUUAAGGCCUUCCGUGCAGACUGAGCUGAGUCCAUUUCUUCCUGUGAAGUGAUGUGGGAGAACCCAAUGGAGUGUUGAAAAGAUCACAGUGCAAUCAGAGCGUCUAAGUCAGCAGAGGGUUAAAUUUCUAUAAUUUUUUUUGUUUGGUCCUGGCUUCUAAAAAAAAUAAACCCUGCAUGUAAAUAUAUUUUUUAUGUAUUCUGAACAUAAAGAUAGCUCUGUCCUACCAUAUUGAUUUAUUAGAUUCUCUGACAUUUUAGUUGUGGUCGUUAUGUUAUAUUUAUGAGAUGAAUGUUGGAUUCCCUCAUUAUGUUAUCCUCAUUUAUUUUACAUACUUUUAUGGCUGGUUGUGCAUCGCUCUACAGUUAAAGCUUUAUUGCAGCUGUUAGCGUUGGGGGGAGGGGAAGGCAAGUAGUUAUUGAUCGGAAUUUACAUGUUUACUGUUGUAAUCAUGAUUUAUUUAAUCUGUUUGCACCUAUAAAUAUAAGCCCACUCUUGGAAAUGAAAAAUGCAUACUGUAUCUACAUUUUAAAUGGUGGUGCAUCCGUUGUCACUUGCCUACCUUUGGAGUGGAGAGUUAGGGGAUGAUCUGGGACUCGUUAGGUGGACACUUGGCUUAUACCCUGGAGGUGGAGCUUGUGGACUUGGAGCUACACUGCCUGGGUUCACAUCCCAUCAGUGCUGCUUACCAGUGGUGUGUUCUGGCUCCAGUGUUACCUCUCUCUGCUUCAGCGUCUUCACCUGCGAAAUGAGGAUGGUAUUAGUAAUUACCUCCUAGGUUGUUGUGUGAAUUAAAGCAAUAUUUGUAAAAUUCCUAGACUAUGCUGUGCCUGGAGAAUUUGCUUAUUAAAUGCUGGUUAUUAAAACUGCAGUGGGUGGAGAGCCAUGUAUAUUGAGAAGGCUUGCCUACUUCCAGAUGGGAACCCUGAUGUGUUUUAUUCUGCAGGGCUAGGGCACUUAGAAAGUUCUGGGAUUGUGCUUUAACUAAGAAAGGGAAGGACUUAUUGAAGGUUAAUCCCGAGAGUUGAUUGUUUCCUAUAUAUUAUAUUUAAAAUUUUAAAUUUCAUUUAUUUGAAAAGUAGACAGAGAUAGAGAGGGAGAUGGAGAUAGAAUUAGAGAUAUAGAAAAAGGGGUUGAGAUUGAGAUUGAAGCAGAGAGACAAUUUUCUUAUCCACUGGUCUACUUCCCUAAAUUCCUCCAACAGCCAAGGCUGGGUCAGACCAAAGUAGGAGCCAGGAGCUAAGACCAGAUCUCCCACGAUGAUGGUGGAGACUCAAGUAUUUAAGCCAUCAUAUGCUGCUGCCUCCCAAGGUGUUCAUUAGCAGGAAGCUGGAAUUUGCAGCAGAGUUGGACUUGAACUGGUUCUCCAAUAUGGGAUGCCAGCAUCCCAAGCAGCAUCUUAACCACUGUGCCAAAUGCCUUCUCCUCCUGUUACUUUUUUUAAAAAGUGUCUUCACUUCCAGUCCACCAUUAGCUAGCUUCUAAGGGUUGAGUCUGCUUUGUCUGUGUCUACUCCCAUCAUUUGUAUUUGGUAUUACCUGUCUGAAGCAUGACACAAUAAUGACAUGGACAGUAGAUGAGAAGUCAGAAAUCCUUAUCCAGCCCCUUGUCUGCUGCCCAGUAGCCUGAGGAAUUGGGCAUAAGACUUUUAAUGGAGCAGAGUAUCCAUGGUAAUGGUGACAUUGCUUCAAAAAUCUGCCACAGCACUGUAAUGAACUUUAGGACUGUGACACUGCCCUUGGUAUAAAGAGAGUAGCAUGUCCUCUGUAGGCGCAGAGCACACAACCCAGACUCAACCAUGCAACGUCUGAUGCUGGAUGUUAACGCCUGUCCCUUCCCAAGGGAUGGACACAUAGAGAAACCCCAGGUUUUUGGAUUCUUGUUUUCAAGAAAUUUUGCCUUUUUAUUCAACCCAGGUGCUAUCUUUGGUCAUACGCUUUGGGAAAGUAUCCUUCCUUCAUAUAAAUUCCUGUUGUCUGCCUGUGGGGUGCCACACUGUGUAUUUCACUCCCAUCAUUGAAUGUGCAUCUCACAUUCUGCCCCAGUAGGGUCAACUCAGCAUUUGUAUUUUACCCUUCACAGUUUGGCAGGGAUCCUUUGAAAUAAUUUACGUUUAUUGUCUUGCUUCAGAUGUUCAAAGAAUCAUCCAUCUAGCAAAACAGUCUUAUCCAUUCCAUAUAUUCAUUUUGGUUUUGAGCCUCCUUAGCAGAACUAAUGAUUUUUAAUCAAAUUUCCAGGCCACUCAUCAUAAUUAGGUUUAGAAUCAUGAAUUAUGUACACUCACUAUUAUAUCACGCCUCCCCGUGAUAGGUGAGUGAGUUAGAGAUCAUCACGGGUUUUUCACACCUCUCAGGAUGAUUUACAACAAUUAAAGAAAAGUCUCCAAUUUUUCCUCUGUCGCUUAAAACAUUUCUAGGGAAAGCUAGGGUUUUUUUCAUCUUACUUUUACUCUCUACCUCAAGACGCAGUUGCUUGUCAAAAUUUCCCCCAAAUCAUUUGGCCUCUGAAAAUUUUACAUAGCUCAGUUUUAAAAAUUAAUCAAAAUUGAAUGUCAAAAAUUUUAUGUUGAGUGACAUGUCAUCCACCAAAGAGUACUUACUUUGUGAUUCCUUUUAUAUGACGUCUGGAACUAAUCCGGGCUGUUAGAAAUCAGAACAGUGGCUCCCUCUGUGAUGGCUUUGUGGGGUGGUAGAAAUUACAGAUGUUUUAGGUGUUGGUUGAGGUGUUUCCAUAGGUGUAUGCAUUUGUCAAAACUGAGUGAAGUAUAUGCUUAAGAUGUGUGCAUUUCACUGUGCAAAGGUACCUCAGUAAAAAUAUAAAAAGAACCUUCACGGCUCUCUGUAAAAAUAAGGGAACAAUUCAUGACUCAUGGGUUCUUUGCAGGUGUCAUUUAGGAUGCACCUUUAAUGGUGUUUAGCAGCUGUGGAAAUUUUGAGGCAAUGUGGUAUAUUUUCCUUACACUCUUUUAGCCAGAAUUUAAUGAAAAUGAUUUUGUGUUACAAUACUGGUUUCUCAAAGUCAAUGGAGGCAUGGCAAAAAUUUGUUUGUCUAUUGUAUUAGGCAAGGAUGUUCAAGUGGAUACCUGCUGUCUGGGUUGGCUUUUAUAGGGAGCCAUUAGUCAUUCUCCAAAUGUUCUCUUUUCCUGCAAUUUUUGACUUACAGGGAGCACUAAUUUCUUGGUUAAUUUUUUUUCAGUCCGUACUUCUGAAACACAAAUUCACUUUUUCUAGUGAAUCAUUAUCAUGUACUACCAUCAAAGGUUAUUCACUGAAAGCGCCAGGAAAAAAAAAAAAAAGCAAUGAAAACUAAUUUUGAUUGUUAAUGGAAAUGUAUUUUUAGUCUUAAAGAGCUUCCCUCAGCAAUAAUUAUAGUUAUGCCUCUUGGGUGUUUUUGGACUUUUAAAUUUACAUCUAGUAGCUCUUUUUCAUUUAGCAGUUAAUCUUUUCACACAGCUCUGCAAAUUUGCUCUGUAGUCUAGCAUUCAGAAAGGAUCAGCGGAGAUUUUAUGUCUUUUCCCUUCCGUGUCAGGCAUGCAUGUGCCCUGGCUGCCCUCCUCGCAAUGUUGUCGUGUGUGCUGUUGUGACUGUGGCAGCUGGGCAGGGAGGGGCAGACUUUGCUUUCCUGCAGCUUGUGAGCAGCCAGGGCCCGGUUUGCCAGCUUCUGCUCCAGGCAGACAGAAUCAUUCAUUGCACAGCGAGUGAGCACAGUCCAACUUUGUGCUUCAAGACUCCAAAGAUACAUGCUCAGCCCAGGAAGGCCUGCGUGGCUGCUGCCUUUCUCUGACUUCAGACAUCAAAGCGUCACAGCAGAUUGGAAACAAGGAGAGGCAAAGCUUUUGUAGCCACUGAGGCUGCUUGCUGUGUUUGCUGCUGCUUUGCAGGUUUUAGAGAUGAGGCAACAGCAGCAGCAGCUUAGAGCAUGGGCAGAGAGGGAGUUCUGGCAGGAAGUUUGCUCAGGUUCUGCUCUCUUAUUAGCAACCCUAGUGUGUCAGUUAACCUGGCUAGCAUGAUUAGAGAAAGCUCAAGGCUCCGCAGAGGCUCUGCUGCUGGGGAAAACUGACCUUGACCUGUGGAAUCCUGCAAGGCCCAGACAUUUGGGUGUGUGCAAAGCAGAGCUGAGCAUUAAGGAACAGUUAAAAUUAAUCCUGUGUACUGCAGCUGCCGAGAGAGCCAGCUCCACAUGUCAAUAAAUCUAGAUCUGUUUGAAGCUAACGUCACUAAAUCUUCGUCUUGACUGUUUGCUGGUGGUGUCAAGAGCUGCCCAGGAAGAUGAAUUUGAGGGGAGGAUGAAAAAGGAACCAUAUUAAACUGCAGCUCUGAUAAGUUUAGUUAAGAGGCAGGAGAUGUGUCCUUGCCGUGACAUUCAGUGGCUGAUAUUUGUUUCCCUUUAAAUAAUAUGCUGUACAUCUGUGAGAAUGAUGGUUUGGGGCUGGUGACAUUGCAUCUCCACCAAGGUUACUGCCUUGUGGACAGGCAGUCUCUCUCCUUUCUUUCUCUAUCCCACACCCUGUCAAUAAAUAUCCACUUGUCUGAGGAAGUGAGAUACAGAUUUUACAGCUGACACCAGGGUGUCUUCAUUUCUGCAAGCAAUGAGGUCCAACCUGUGCAUGCAUGUAGGGCAGGGUGGGGGUUGAGAGAAACUAAAGAGCUGUGGGAAGCAGCCUAGGGUAUGAAGCUAUGCAGUGAAUCCCCAGCAGCACCCGCAGGGGAGGUACCUUCACCUUGAGUCUUUAUCUUUCCAAACUCCGCUUUCAAUUUUUAAAGCAAGAAAUGUGAAAUCUGGGGACCGGGGAUGGCGGGUUCUGUUUUCUCCCGCAAGUCCCUUCUCUGAGUACCUUGCGUGAUCCUUCUGUAAUCUGCAGGUCUGUGACCUGUGGCAGUGCUUAGCAAACCUGCUCUGUGAAGGGCCAGAUAGUAAAUAUUUUUCUCUUCCGGGGCCCACCUGCUUUGCACCUAGGUCAUAGCAGAAGUACAGCCACAGUCUGACCAUCAAGGAGUGGGAAUGUCCACGUUAUGGACACUGGAAUUAGGGUUUCAUAAGGUUUCCCAGACCGUAAAAACUAAUUCCAUGUUUGAUUUGUUUCCACCACUAAAUAUGUAAAAACUCUUCCCAGCUUGCAGGCUGAGCACAAGCAGAUGGGGGUUGCAGCUGACUCAUCUACCUGGCCUGUGAUUUUGCUCGUGUUGUUAUUUUCCUUUUGUCAGUGUGGGAAGGUGUUGAGGGUCUCCUUUGGUAGGAGGCUGUGACCCUCCAGAGAUUGAGUUGGUGACCAGAAGGAGCCAGGGGAUACAGUGGAUGUGGAAAAAAACAAUGCUGGGUUCUGAGGCAGACAGCCCAAGUUAGCCUCCCUUACCACUUACCAGCUGUGUGCCCUCAGGUUGGUCACUUAACCUCUCUGAGCUCUGGUUUCCUUUUUAUUUUUAUGAAAUGGGGUAAUUAUAUUGCCUUGCCUGUCGCACAUGACUGUUCUGUAGACCAAAGAGUCAAGAGAAAUGAGAUGUCCUAGGAAAUGAUAAAUAAUUUUAUGCAUGUGGAGCUCUGGAGUUAUUUGGUUGCUUCACCAGUGGACCCUCUUCUCGUUAACCCUGAUUGUUGUUCAUGUGAAGGAAUUCUGUUUUUUGCAUUUCACCUGCAAAAAUAGAAUCAGAAUUUGAAUUGCGGAAGGACAAAAACAGCAUUUUUGCUUUUCCCUCUUUCUUAGGCUCUAGUGCUAGGUACUUUUUCCUGAGUAUCUCCUACUUGUUUGGUUGCUUCCUGGUGCAUCAAGACACGUUGCUGUAACUGAAGUGGUCAUGUGGAGUUGGGGCUAUCCCCCUACUCAGAAGACUCUGUCCUUGACAGUUCUUAAUGCACGCUGAGCUGCCCUGCACGAAUGGCAUAGCCCCCACCCCAGGAACACACUUUUAGAAAGGAUAUCCUGUUCUCUAAAACUUGGAUAGCUGUUUUUCGUGUUAUAUUUAUUUAUUUAUUUUUUUCUGUAAGGGUAAAGGCAUAGUGUGGAGGUGUGGAGGGUGGAGAUCUGCCCAGCAGCAGGUCUUUAGAUCAGGGUUAGUCCCCCUGAGAUCCUAUCCCUCCUGCCCAGAGGAGAAGAACUCAGAUAUAAAACAAAGGGGAGAGCUUAUUCUGGCCAGUGGCAUCACAGAACUUGCUUUUGCAGCAACAUUAUUCCUCCUGUGUACCCUGUUAGGCACUUGAAGCCUUUUCCCUGUCCUUGAGCUCUUCUGUUUGUUAUAGAAGCUUUGAGUCACAUAGAACAUUCUAUUCUUCGCUUGACUCUUUGGCAGCUGAGGCCAAGAGAAGCUCAUGUAUCUGCAGAAACAUCAAGCAGGUGGCUAACAAUGAUAUUAAAGCUGGAACCUACUUCUGGCUCUCAAAUCCACCCCAUUCCCAUUCCCAGCCUCACAUGGGCUCAUGCUUCAUGUGUUACUGAAAUUCAGGAGGUUGUGGGCAUACUGAUAGGUGGAUAUAGUGAACUACCUGUCUUUGAGGAUGUCAGCUUGAAUUAUCUUUCCUUCCUAGAAUGCGUUUGUGGAGCAGGUUUUGGUCUUUUCCCACCUGUCUUCAGCUUCUUCCUACCUACCUCCAACAUGUAAAUAUUUGUACACAGUGUUUGGACUACAGUGAGGAGAACAGUGUGUUACUGAUGCUUGGCCUGCACUCCUCAGCUUAAAUGCCUCUGUAGAUCCUCAUUGCUUCCCCAGUGAAGUGUGAAUUCUUCAGGCUGGCAUUUUAGGCCCUCUGCAGUCCGGUUCCAGCCAGCCUUCUCUGUCUCACCCUCUUAUCUCGGAGGGAACCAUCUCUUUCUCUUUCACCAAGCUCACGCUGCCAUCCUGUCCCCCUCUCCUUCCUCAGCUGCUUGGGUCUAGCACUUUCUUCCCUGAUGUUCUCACACGUCUUCAGUUCUCCUUCUCUAAAGAUGAUUGCCUUCUAACUUGCCACAGUGCAUGUUCUUUCUUUUGUCUUAAACUCUGGACCCCAGCCCUCUCUCCUCUUGCUUCUCCAUUUAUUUGGAGUGUCUCUCAGCAUCUUUUACCUGGAGCUGUGGGUGAUAACUCAGCUCCAGUGCCCUAAUGCAGAAGCAGACCAUCACCUGAAAGUCACAUCUGGCCACCAUCUGUUUUUGAAGAGUUCAUGGGCCAAGAAUAGUUUCUAUAUUUUUCAAGGUUAAAAAUUUUUUUUGAAAUAAUCUUGACCUAUGAGAAAAUAGAUGAUAUUCAAAUUCCAGUGUCUGCUGAUAAAGUUUUAUUGGAACAAAGUCCCUUCCAUUUAUUUGGCCUUGACCUGUUGCUGCUUUGGCUCUCUCAUGGCAGGGUUGAGUGGUUGCUUCAAAGAUCACGUUGUUAUUUACCGGGAAAGCUUGAUGAUCCCUGUCCUCAGGCAUUGAUUUUGGUGAUGAUUUGGUUUUUGUGCACUUAAAAAGUGUCGGUCCCCCUCUUCAUGGAGGAACGACACUAAACCCUGCCUAGGUUUCCUAUCCGAGUCACGGCACCAUUAUGUCGCUCCCCCUCUUCGUGGAGGAACAACACAGGACCCUGCGCUGUUCUUUUGUCUGCUCGGCCCUUCCCGGGUUUGCUGCUGGUUCUUCCCGGGUUGGCUACCGACCCUUCCACCUCUGUGGAAGGGCGGUUCCACCUAGCCACUUUCCCCACUUCCGCAGGGGAACGGCACACCGCCGGCCGGCCGGCUCUCUCGGGGACUGCACAGGUGUUCCCCUUAGAUGUUCCCCUUAGAUGUUUCUCGUGCAUGUUGUCUCUCUCCUCCUUUAUAGUCCUCUUCCGCCAAUCCCAACUCUGCUACCCACACGCUGAGUACGCUGCUCUCCUCCAAUCAGGAGCAGGUCCUACAGUUUAUUGGUUGAACUGGAGGCAGCUGUGUAGAAGCUGUUUUCUCCUCUCCCAGCGCCAUAUUGUGGGAGAGCAGAUGCAUAGAAUAAGUCUUAAUUCCAGUAACUCAGUCCAGUCCGGGUUGCUCCCCACAGAAAGGUGCUGACUAUGUGCCACCUUUGAGAAAUAGCCCCAGAAAUCACAUUCUGUGCUAGAAAUGUGGUACCUCCAUUGUAAAAGCUGCACUCUGCCUCCCCUACUCCUUCAGCCUUUGUUAGCCAGGCCCUGGUGCUACACUGUCUGUCCACUGGAACAUGUCCAGAGAGACCCUGCUGUGAUGUCUUAGUCACCAUGGUGGCUGCCCUUGGGUCUUAAUGAUUUCAUUCCCUCUGCCCUGCCUCACCUUGUUGGCCAACUUCUCAUUCCUGAAAUUCUUUGUUUUCUUUGCACUUGGACAUGUGAUCUCUUGUUUCUGCUGUUUUUUUGUUUUGUUUUGUUUUGUUUUUUUAGUGUAGAUGCUUCCACCCUUAGUAAUUUUCUCCACUUCUUACAUAGUCCUCAUGUCUGUGCUGAUAAUUUCUGGUCCUCUAUUUCCAGAGUUCGAGUCCUACAUUUCCAUCUGCAUUCUGGCUGGUAUCUUCUUCACUCCUCUUCUGUUCUCUUGUCUUCUGUCCAUGGCACCAUCUUGUUUUCCAUCAUGGAGGUUCACAACCUCAGUUUUCUAUGAUAUACAUGUUUCUUGAGUGCCAAACAGCUGACCAACUUUGCUUAAUCCUUGAGAACACAUUUAGCAUCCAUCUUCUCCUGCUUCCACUUUCCCAGGCCAGACAAUGACUCUUAUUCCUAGUUCUUUCCUUUCUGUUCUACCCUGCUGCCUGAUGACGGCAGAUGCUUAGGCCCCUCCUUGUGUUCCUCGCUGCCUAGUCUUAUCCUUUAUGCACAAAGCACUAGGAGGCCUUCUGAAUGCUUUUUUUGUAGGCACAGUGGAGAAGGGGCCAUGCCCCACUGCCAAGAGCAGCAACAUUAAUACUGCAUCCGGCGGUGAUUUCCUCCUGUCCCCUCUUUUCUCCUACUCUCCUGGGUCUUCUCCCUAAGAAACUUUCUGUACCUGUAUCCUCAUGUCAGGCCUCUGCUUUCAAUGCGACUCAAGUAAAAUACAGACGAAUCUUCUGACAACUUCAGUCCAGACCUCUUAAGCGGUUUCACAAGGCUCCCCAAUACAGGAUAGCACUUGUUCUAAAGUCCCAGUCUCUGCAUUUGACACCAGCCUGUCUUCCCAGCAUUAUCUUCUCUGACUCAUCUUUACCAGUGGUUCUUAUCAGACAUCAGAGACUCCAUGUUGCUCAUCUUUGUUUCUCUAUUAUUUUGCCCAGUGCCUGACAUAGGAAGAAAUGGAAUGAAAAUGUCCAGUUUCAGUGAGUUAACGAAUUAGUAAAUGUGUUCAUCUUCGUGUGUCCAUCCUUUGAGGCAUUGCUCCUCCUUACUGCUUGUUAGUGAUCUUUCCUGCCACUAAAUUUACAAAUCACCCAAUCUCUGCCACUGUAGUGUGGUUUUUGUUUUCUUCUUUGUAUUUGUUUACAAGUCUUAAUUGCUAAAAUAUAAAUAGCUCAAGGGAUGUUCUUGCUUGAUUUUAUUUCUCUCUCUCUCUUUAUUUUUUUUUUUUAAGAUCUGCUUAUUUAUUUAAAAGAGUCACAGGGAGAGAGAGAGAGAGAGAGACAGACAGACCUAUCCACUGGUUCACUCCUCAGAUGGCCACAAUGGUCAUGGCAGGACCAGGCUGAAACCAGGAGCCAGGGGCUUUCUCUGUGUCUCCUAUGUGGGUGUUCGGGGCCCAAACCAUUGGACCAUAUUCUACUGCUUUUCCCAGGCCAUUAGUAGCGAGUCGGAUUGGAAGUAGAACAACUGGGACAUGAAGUGGCACUCAUAUGGGAUGCCAGUAUCACAGGUAGCAGCUCUAUCUGCUCCUCCACAAUGCUGUCCGCAUAUUUUCUUUCCUUUAUAUGCCAUCAAAGAUCUCAUGGGUUCACGGAUGAUCCUUAGGUAUUGGUUUAAAAAAAUAAGAGGAUAUCUUACUGCUUUGUAGGCAUCCUAGUUCAUUCUGAUUUGUUCUUUUCUCUGUUCUUCAGACUUGUGAUACGUCUUUUCAUUCCCGCGAAUCAUGGCAAUCUAUUUCUUCUCUGCUUCUCGCGCUUGCUUCUUUGAUUAUUCACCUGUUUACCUAUGGGACUUCUCCCCAUCCUCCAACAUAAAGGUUAAAUGCCACCUGUAUCAUAAAGCCGUACCCAGCCUACCCCCUUAAACCAUCACUUCUGCCCUGCCUGUGUGCCAUGCAUUUGUAUUAUUCUGCUUAAUAUGUAUUUGCAUAGUUUUGUUUGGCUCCUCCUCUUUCCUUCUUGGUGACAGAAAGCACCAUCAGGUCAAGGCUGGUUACUCCCUCACUGUACCCAGUCUCCUGUUCAGAGCCCUGUGAUCAAUAAGUAUCACUUGGAAUGCAUUAAUCUGAAGAGGUUAAAUUAUAUCAUCAUGCCUUUGCAUUCACAUCUUCGUCACUGGUCCCCCUUGACCUGUCUUUGUAUGAAUUUCCUCGAGUUUCAUUUCAGUAAUGGAAGAAAUAGCAAGCAGAAGGAAAGAUAUAUAUCGAGAGCCAGUCAGCAUGAUCUACUGUGUUUGAACAUGAAUAUUGGAACAUAACUUAUAAGAAUGCCAUUUCAAUUAUUUGUAAAAUAUUUAAAUAGUAUAAUCCAAUUUACAUUCUAUCAUUUCUAACAGCUGUAAAAUUUACUUUACACCAAAGUUAGCUCAAUCACUUUAAAAUUCACUCUGGAAAAACAGUACAAAUGAAAGCUUAAUUUGUAUUUAAUCUCCCCUUUUGUUUCUACAUUAUUGCCUUCAAAUCAUUCCUUUUAGUGAUUGAGAUUUAAACCAGAGAGAGGAAAAAGGCUUGAUGAAAUAUUUGAGAAGAAUAUAACCCAUAAUGAAAAGUUUGGAGUAAAUGUUUUAAAAAAGUCUCAACCGGCUUUGUUCAUUGGGGUUUUAAUUCAUGGCAGCGUCUUUGUUAUAAACCAGAGGUAUGAGAUUUGUGGGUUCCUUUGUUGCAAUCAUGGGGUUGUGACUCAGGUGUUUCAGGUUAGGUGACUGAUUUGAAAUGGGUUCCUGUUAUACCCUGUGUAUGAUGACUGGCAGGGAAUACAAAUGUGACUAAUGAUUAUUUAGUGUGUUGAUCAUACUCAUAUAUUUCCAAAUGGUUUUAUGAUCAUUUUGGUUAGUUUUUCUCUCUAAGCUCUGGCAGUCUUCCAGCUGAUGUCCUCAGCAGCGAGUAGCUGCAAGGAGAAUUAGCAGAAUGGUGACUAACCAUGACUUUCCUGUCCCUGUAUAGCAUCAGAUUUUAUGGGGAAGGAAGGUUCUAUGAAGUUCUAUGAAGGGGUUCUAUGAAGGGGUAGAAGGGCCAAGUGAUGUGUUAGCUCUCAGGAUGCAGCAGUUCUUUGACAUUUUUCUGUCUGCUGAUUGACGGAUCCCAUGGAGGUGGUCCAGAAGCCACUCAUGUCCUCACCCUCAUCCCCCUCCUCACCGUGUCCCUCCCACCUCAGCAAGCCUCUUGGAAGCUGAGGGGCGGGGGCAGGUGGAGAGAUGCUUCAAUGAAGGGAGUAUGUGCCUUGGACUUAAUUCUGAUUACAAAGGAAAAAUGAAUAAAGUAAACAUGGGAAGAAAGAAAGGACUCGAAGCUCACUGACAGCCAAGAAGCAUUAGAAGAGACACUAGCACUUUAUACGUAAGAAGGAUUUCAGAAAGAUGGGUAUGGUCUCUGGGCCAAGACUCCAAAAGGCAAAACAGCUAAAGAGGAAUUUUCAACAGAAUUCUCCCAAACCUUCUCAGAAAAUGAAAAGGGUAAGUCAUCUAAGUGCUUGUGUAACUGUGAAAUUUGCAGAAUGGCUGCCAAAAUAAUGAGUCCUACUUAUGAAGCGUGUUCCUCUCUACUGUGUUAGAUGAGCCUUGUUGCAACCCUGUGAUUCUGGCCCAACAGAGUAGUAAACCUGCUUGAGGAAACUGAGGCCCAAUAGUUUUAGUAACUUGCCCAAGGUGGUACUGCUUCUUAAAGGCAGUUAAGUUUCAUUUCAAAGAGACCUGGGUAUUUUGACUCCAUGUUUUAGUACUGAUUUUAUAAUACUGUGCUGUAAAAUGCUGGCAAAAUAUUUGACAGUGCUGUCGGCAGAUCAAAGUCAACCAACGAGUUAAUGGUUAUAAAAUGAAUAAAUACCAAAUAAAUAAUAUGAUUUAGUCAUAAUGAAAGAUAGAUAAUGGAAAGAUGGUUUCCCUGCUCCAGUUAGUGGGAUGAGUAGAAAGAAGCUCAACUACUCAACAUGCACAUUGGCUUCCAUAUUUUCUUUCAGUUUAGCUUGAAGGGUGCAAGGCUGGGCUUGUGCUGCACUUACAUGUAUAUAUGCAGAUAUGGAGUAUAAUCCUGAAUAAUUAUUCUGUGUCAGGAGCACAUUCUCUUUGAAGCUCUUACAUGCCUCUAUCAAUGGGAUGGAUCUUGUGAGUACCAGUUGGCAACCCCAGGCAUGUUGGGUAUUGGGAUGUGUAGCAUGUAGCAUGUAGCAUGUUGGGUAAUGGUGACUUAUGCAGUGGAGCUGCCAGGAUUAAUUUUAUUGUGGCCAAUGGCUCCGUGUUUUAGAAAGGGAUGGCAGAGUGGUGGCUGCCCUAGCCAGUGGGUUAAGUGGAGGGCAGUGAUGAGAGUUGCUACUGCAUCUCCAAACGGCUUCAUGUUAAUUGUGAUGAGACUUUUCAAGGUAUAGGGAUGCAAAAAUGUGUCUGCUUUUCUUGAAGAUGCUGGUCUGGUGGAGAAGAGAGAAUACGCAUCAGUGAUGGAUCAGAGAGGGAAGAAAAGUACAAGAGGCUUCCUCUUUGUAAAGAAGGAUCAGGAGGUCACUUAUUUCCAAGGAAUGAGCAUAGUGUUAUUGGGGAGCAGGAAUUUGACCCCAUGGUAAUACCUAAUGCAUGAAGAGCAGUGCUUGAAGCUGAGAAUGGAAUCAGCCUGGGAAAGGUCUUGCAGGGCUGGCCUAGGAAGCAGAAUCCUUCACUGCAGCGAGAACAGUGAUUUGUUUAUUUUUAAGCAAGAAGUAAAAUGCUUCAAUAUACAUUUUAGAAAUAUGACUACCCCGGGGCUGGUGCUGUGGUGCAGUAGAUUAAUCCUCCGCCUGCAGUGCAGGCAUCCCAUAUGGGUGCUGGUUCUAGUCCUGGCUGCUCCUCUUCUAGUCCAGCUCCCUGCUGUGGCCUGGGAAAACCAUGGAAGAUGGCCCAAGUCCUUGGGCCCCUGCACCCAUGUGGGAGACCUGGCAGAAGCUCCUGGGUCCUGGCUUUGGAUUGGCACAGCUCUGGCCAUUGCAGCCAUUUGGGGAGUGAACCAGCAAAUAGAAUACCUUUCUCUCUGUCUCUCCUUCUCACUGUCUGUAACUCUUUCAAAUAAAUAAAUAAAAUCUUUAAUAAAAAAAAAAGAAAUAUGACUACUCCUACCCCCACACCCCAAAGAAGUAAAAAAGAAAGCAGCAGCAUCUCAGGGCAGCGGACCAGAAGGGAGAAAACAGAGGAAGCCUUUGUGGAAAUCCAGCAGCGAGGGAGGGACACAGAGGGAAACUGGAGAUGGCGUCCUCAGCAGGCUCGCUGAAGGUAGAUGGGGGAAGAAGAAAAAAAACAGAAAUAAGCCAACAACCAGUUGCAAAUGUACAAACAAAAGCUCCAUAAUAACAGAGUAUUCACAUGGUAGUUUCCCAGUGAAAAAUGUGCAAAUUCCCUGGUCCUACUCCUCUGAUUUUAUAACCAGGGGCCUGACAGUGGUCUUGAGACAUGCACUUUUGUUCCCUGUUUCUCAUCUCCAGCAAAAAUGAACUCCUCCCUUCGUGCUUUUCUCUGCUUCGCUUUCUCAAGGGCUUGGCGACUCAACCAGAGCUGAUCAAAACCACCAUGCUUGAAGGCUUCCUUGAGGGCUCCUCGUUUCUUUGUGGAUUGCUUAAUAAGCAUGAGCUCUUGUAAUCAGUACAUUCAUGGUUCUCAAAUGACAAAAUGCAGCAGAAUCAGCUGGGCGUCACUCCCCAAGUCUCACUUUGUUGGUCUGGGGUGCAGGCUGACAACAUGCAUUUCUAACAAGUUUGCAGAGAGGACUGCGGCUGCUGGCCUGGGGGCCGCACUCUGGAACCACUGGUGUGAUGCCUGCAGGAGGGGAAAGGCUUGGCAUCUGUAUUAAGGAUGAGGAAACCAAUGACCUGGUUAGAAGAAGUACUUUGCUCAGGGAGGUCGAGUUGCAACUAGAACCUGUGUCUAUCCAUGUGUCCAUCUAGAUCGCAUUCCUCCUCACUCUGUCUGCCUUCCAUUACGCAGAGCCAGAUGGGUGGAAUCCACUUCCUGCUGGGACCAGGGCUUCCCUUGCUCACUAGGGAGGUGGGCCUCCUUGUCACUGCCUUCCUGAGUCUUUUACUGUAACAAGAUUUCAUGCAUGGGCAGUAGAAAUGUCUACCUUUUUGCUCUGUUAUAAGCAUUCUUGAAAACAUCCCCCGACCCAAAAUAGUCAGCUUACCAGGGCUUACAUACGCCUCAAACUCCUGCCAAUGGAGGGAGCGCUUCAAGUCCAGGUCUGUCUCCAGAUUGCUUCCUAGCUUGUGUGUGAGCUCCCGGAUUGUGUCUUCUUUGUAUUUAUAGCUCCCACACGGUACACUGCUGGAUUCAUUCUAAAUGCUCAGUAAUUUGGACAGGUGAGUGAAUGAAUGAUGCUAUUUUCAGGAUACAAAUAGAUUUAUUUACUGGGUUUAUUUUAUUCAAAGGCAAACUAGCUUACUUGGAGGUAGUAUAAGGGGUAUCUUGCCUUACUUAGUAAAGGCAAGACUCAGAAGUUUCCCAAGUUAGAUUUUCUUGGCGGGAGAGGGAUCCUGUUGCCCUAGUUUUCCUACACUCAGUGCUACCUGUACUGGUCUCAGGGGAUAAGAAUAGAACCAUUCUGGUGGAUAACACAGGCAUGUCCAGUCAGUCUGGCUUAUGGAGCCAGGUGUCUGUCAUUCUGAUUUGACCAGCAGCAUCUCAGAGCUCCAGGCACUUGCAGGUCUGUCCUAGUUCACCUGGCCUGUAUGUAGCAGUCUGUGUGGUGGGUACUUUUCUCGAUUCAGAACCAGGACCACCCUCCUAGAGACCUAGCACCUUCCAAAUCCAGAGCAAGGGAGAUACUUUUCAUGCUGACCCAGGUCCGCUCUGUUAGGUCUGGUUGCUUGUCUGGAGCCCCACCUGUUUUCCAAGUCACUACAAACAGGCAUAACCCUCCCAUUCUGGUGAGCCCUCGGUCCCCUGCCCAACACAUCACAGUAUCCUAAAACACUAGCAGUGACAGUUUUUAAACUAAAGGGCUGGGGAGUAGUGGUUGUUAAGGAGUGGGUGAGCAUUUUACCAGGAGGGUCAGCCCUGUCCUGGUGUAAGCACCACAGGCAUAAGCCAUUAGGAAGGACCGAGUUCCCGAACACCCGCUUGGCUACUGCACUUUUGCCUGCCUUAGCCCCUCUUGUUCGUACCUUUACCCUAGAAAACCACCUUUUCUCCCACCAGGCUCUCACCGCACAAUGAAGGUAGACACACUUUAAUUAUCAGCCACCUCCAGCCCAGGACUGCAUCAGCAAUGUGGCAUUCACUCACGACCUAAAUAACACAGUUGCGCUGAUGGAAAAUGCUGGCGAGGUCCCUACAGAUGUCGCUGCUGGUUGCUGCACUGAUAUAUACAUACGUGUUUUCAGCAGAAUAGAGGGUCAGGAGGAGGUGGCAAGGAAGCGGGGCCUCUGUUGAUCAUUUCCACACCACCAGGAAAUAGGAUUUGGGUGUCUUGAGGUCUUACAGAAAGCCACUGGGGUUGGGAAUUUUAGGGGAAGGGGUUUUAUCUUUUCCCAAUUCAGUGAUUCUCAACUCUGAAUGUUCCUUUCUGCCUCCAUAUGCCGUGUUGAUUUACCUUUUUUCCAUUUCUUGGAAUGAUGCAAAAUGUCUGGGUUACGAAGAAUAUGGGACUGUAUUUUCUGUAUUUCCUUUAUCCCGUAUCAGAAAGAUAUUUCAGCGAACAACUUGUUUGCCAUUCAUCCUUGUAAUUUCCUGUUUUGAUUAGUUUCUUCUGCAUAUGUGAUUCUUAAGAGGAUCAUAAAAUUUCUAUGACACUAGCAGUACUUCUCUUAGAUUUAUGCAGUAGGUAUAAUAUUUAAGCUAAUUUAAAAUUAAAAAAUAAACAUUGCUGUUUGUCACUCUGAUUCCUUUGUUUGCCUGUCAUCAAUGUCCAAUGAAUAGUAUGCAUUUCCUCCAGUCAUUGUUAAAACUCAAUGUAUGGAAACAGUGUUUAUACCAGCAGCUGUUAAAAAUCUGGGACUAUGGAUUAAUGUCAGUUUCUGAAUGUAGAGUGCUUUAGUUAAUUCUACCCAAGGACAGAUGAUAUCAUCUGAGAAGAAAGAAUAUAUUAGAAACUGUCAGCCAGAAGGUAGUAAAAGGAGGUGAUAUGUUAUAAGGAGUACUAAAAGGUCAUUCAAAGAAGAGAUAUUGCUAAUAACUCAAUUAAAUUUUUCACGCUGACAUUUUAUAAAUUUCUUUGUAAGCCCUAAAACAUUUUCAAAGCUAGCUAAAUUCAUACCCUAGAUUGGAAACAGUGGGGUCAAAUAGGAUUCACACAAUUCCUUUGUGAGAGGAACAGAUUGGGAUCAUCUCUUUCUCCAGGAAGUUCUGGCCAACUAAUUUCCUGAAACUCCUUUGAUACCCAGGUGAGAGAGAGGAAUUUUGUAAGCAUAUCCUCCUAUUGGGGAUAUUCCCUUCACUCUGCUAGGUUUUGGUGCAGGGCAACCGACUUGUUUUGGUCUUGACAUUCAAGAAGCUCAUACUUGCUGGGCUGGUACGUCAUUGUGGUUAUGCUCUGUAUUUUGAUGCCUGGAAAACAAGAGGAUUUGUUGUCCUUUUUGGGAGUCAGGAGGCACAGCUCAGACUGGAGACAAAGGCCAUUGGUGGAGCCUACUCUUGGAGUAGAAAUGCUUCCAGAGCAUGUGAUGGGGUGUAGCCAGGGUGGCUAAAGAGUGAAGCGGUGAUGACAGAAGAUACGGGAAUGGCAGGGUUUGGGAAAGCCCAUCCAAACUGUCUUCCUGCUGUUGGGCUUGAAGGAGGGAUGAUCCCUGCUAAGAGACGAUCUCACCUGGAGUCUGCCUGGCUUCUCCUGGUAGGUUUUGCAGUGUCCACUCACACUUAGGAGUCAUUCAAGUCACCAUCCUAUUGAAGGUGAGUAUAUUGCUUUGCUUGGUGUUUUUUCCCUGUAGUGAUGGAGGAAGCAUGAUCAGUAUGUCUAUAGGUAGGUACAUAGGUGUCCAGUCAUAGCUUUAGUUGUCUAGUGUGUGCUCGGUGCUAAGGGUUUGGUGCACAGGCCAAGUAAACACAGCUUCUGCCCUCAGGGAGAGCACUGACUAGUGGAGGUGAGGAUCAGUAAAUCAGCAUACACACAGUCACUGUUCACUGAUGUGAACAGCUGUCACAGACAGCAGUUGAGGAGAAGGAUAUAGAGCUGCCAUGGGCCCUCAUUUGACUUAGGCAGGUCUGCAGAAGCUUCCCUAAUGAGGGGAGGCCUCACCAGGGACUGAAGGAGGCAGAGGUAACUGGAAAGAGGAGAUGAAAGAGCAUUGCAGCCAGAGGGAACAGCAGGUGUGAAGACUCUUGACUGGGUGGAGCUUGACAAUUACAAGGAGCUGGGAAAGAGGCCUGAGAGGCGGUGGAAGAGGCAAAGAUAGGGACGCUGCUGCAUCUGGGGAGAUGAGGAGGGGCAGUCCAUGGAAGGCCUCACAGGCUAUGGAAAGGGAUUUCAUUUUUUAAAAUGUUACAAUAAUUAUUAAAGUUAUAUUCAAGGCAAGCAAACCCAAUCUUGGCUCUUGUCACAGUAAUACAAUCACAGUGUCUUUGUUCUUCAACUCCAGAGCCUUAUAUUAAAACCUUGAGGCAAGGAUUUCAAGUUGACUUAUUCAUUUUGACAUUUCUUCUUCAAAGGCCUUUGGCCUAGAACUGAGAACGGCCACUGUGGAGCACCUACCGUUUGCCAUGGGCAUCUCAGGAUGGAAAUUCUCAGACACCUGCUGCCUGGUCAUAGCUUGAAUGAAGGAAGAGAGGUACUCAUAUGUCUUUGCUAUGUUUUGUGUACACAGGAGGCACUUAAUAAAUGCCUGCUGAUGAAUCAGAGGUGAAUCACAGCUAGCUUUCCUCUUUCCCAGCCAUCUGAGCAUUGUUAAGAAAGAGGGACUAGUAGGGAGGGAUGAGCCUGGCUCUGUCUCCUCCUGUCCUGUGUGCGUGCUGGGGCCACCGGCUGCCAUCUCUGCAAUGGCACAUUUGUCUUGUUAAGUGGAAGCCAGUUCCUCUGCCUGUUCUGGGGCCCUGCUGAUGGUGGCUGUGGAGGACAGGGACCUGCGGUGAGAGCCUAGCUAUUGUGUUCUGUAAAGGGAGGUGGUGUGGCUAUGGGGAAUGCUCAAAUGAAGACAAAUGCAUUGUUAAGUUUUUAUGGACCAAGGCUGCACUUUCAUUAAGUGUAAUUUACAUAACAUAACGAAUGCUCAAGGCCAGAGAGUCCUUGUGCCCCAGUGACAACCCGUGGACAGAGAGGCCUCGUGCACAGUCCCUCAGGUCAGGAAACGUUGUCCUUCCCCUUGUUGGCUCAGCAUGCUUCUUGUCCUGGUGUUCUCAUUGACCUCUCAAGCUCAGUGCUGGUGACAUCACAGCUACCAAUUUUCCUUUGCAGUGACCCAACCAGGCACUUUCUGGGUAGGGGCCAGGCACCAUAUUGCUGCUUCUUGCCCUGUUGGGAUUAGCUUUCUGGUCUGAGCCCUCUUUAGUUCUUGACUGAGAAUUUUCUGGCAUUCGUCUUGGCCCUAUGAGAGGUUGUGAGUUCCUGCCUAGGGUGGAGCCAAGCAGGCCCUGGUUUAAGAUGUUGGAGAGAGGGAGGGUGGCUGAUUCUCAGAUCACAUUGCUCACCUGCCCAUGUUGCCUACGUGGGAGGGAGAAUGUCUCCGACGAUCCAUCAGUGCUCAGCAGUGAGUGGCCUUUGUCAACGCUCACCUUCAUUAUACAUUCUGACCACCAGAGACACCAGAGUUGUGGGGGUGGGGCUUCUCUGCCCUUGCUGCAAAGCAGUGAUCAUUCCUCCAUGGCAGGGGUGAGUGUUGCACAUCACAUGAUGGAUUUCUGCUGGUAAUCAGAACUUUCUGCCCAUUGGUCUUCAGGACAUACUUGCAUGUUGACAUUUACAAGGUAUGUGUCAGGCAGAGCUGAGCAACUGAGUGAGAGAAUGGGAGGGGGUGAAGAUCAUUAUGUUCAAUUUAAUGAUGACAGUUUUCCUACAUUUACAACUUCCAGAAGUAAGAGACAAUAGAUAUGUGUCUUCUGCCUGCCUGUACAGUGAAGGAGAUGACACGGGAGAUUCUGUUAGCGGGGAUGGUGAUGUAUUACCUUAAUGACUUCAUUGCUUGCCAAAUAAAAGAAAAAUUCUCACUGUAGUGCAGAGCUCUGUCCUCAUCAGGCUAUUCAUGGUGAGGCAUUUGUUGUUUAGUCAGAGCCAGGAGGAGAAAUUCUGGCUUUUUGUAAGCUGCUUUUGGAUUUUUGUGUUUUUGUGUUGUUGUUGGCUGCCUUGACAGUCUGGUUCUUUUCAGUGUGCAGAGCAUGUAUUCACAUUUGAAUAGUGAAUAUUGAAGUUUUUAGUGGAUUUGAAAGCUCCUAGGUUUGGGUACAUCAGUGUUAAAGGAAAAUUUCAUGAUAUAGUCCAAUGAAGUCUCUUCUCUGCCAUUAUAGUAGUGUUGGAAAGACAGAUGACUUUGUUUUGUGUGCAUAGGGGAGGAGUGUUAACAUGUGAGUUGUUGAUGAUUUGAACAAAUCACCAGUACUAUCAGUGGGAGUUUUAAACUGAGAGGGGUCCUUGAUUUAGAUAGGAUCCAAGGAGAUAUUUUCACAGGGCUGCUAGGGGCUGUGUAGUCUGAAUUGUAGACAAGGAAAAGUUCAAUGUGUUUGUGAGAGAACAGUGAUCAGAGACAGGUUCUGUGUUUCAGGUGAGGCACGUGAAGAACCAAUAAACAAACACCUGGUAUGACUUGAGGCCAGCUAGAAUGAGAUCAUGGAUAGCUCUGUAAGGCUACACCUAGAGCCAAAAGCAUUGGAAACUUCUGGAUUCCAUUAUCCUGGGAACCUGACCAUAGCUGUAUAAAGCCGAGAUGUAGGUCCUGCUAGUCACUCCAUGGUCGGUAUCUACCUACUCUGUGCAGUCUGCUCUUUCUAGUAGGUUGACUUGAUUUCUAAAGUAGCAGUCAUGAGCUGAGGGUGACUAUCAUUGAGGUGGAAGUCCUGUGCCCUGUGUUUGAGGUCAAAAGAGAGGACAGCUGGCCUACCCGCAGCCUCUCAGGUGUCCUCGUGCUUCCUCAUCCAGCAGUGAUGUCAGCACCUCCUGUUGCUUUCCAUUUAUGUGACUAAAAUGAUUCUACUGAAGUGGGUUGUUGGUAGGCCCAGCAACCUGCACCUUUUGCUGAAUGUGCCAGGCAGCUCUCAAGCUCAACCUUGGAAACUGGCUUUGAAUGUAGUAGUCCUCAUAGAGCGUGUUUACACCUCACAUGGUGUGUGACUUUGGGCAAGUGACUUCUCCUUUCCCUGCCUCAGGUUUUUCAUCAUUAAAGUGUUUAAAAGUUCUUGUGGGAGCAUUUAAUUCAAGCAUAUUGUAUGCUGAGACGUUGCUGUGUAUCCAGUAGGCCUAAUUAGAAGCUCUUGGUGUAGCCAUUGGUAUGAAAAUGUAGUGGGCCUCAGAGAACCUUAGAAAUAGAAGUUAUAUUUCUGUUCUUCACCUACUUGAAAGAUCACAUGGAAGAGUCCCUAAAGCCAUAAGCCCCUUGAGGUGGGGCGGGGGUAAGAGGGCUGUAUCUCAUUCAUUUUUGUAUAUCCAAAGCCAUCAGAAUGUGUGGUGGUUGAUAGGCUAGGACUGAGGUUAUCAAGAGGUACUGCAGAAUUUGACAUAGACACGGCAUAAACACAUAUGCCUGUGACCUGCCUCCUAUAGAAGGCACUCAGUAAAAUGGUUAGAAGAGAGGACAGAUUUGUUUUAUUCACUGUUGAGUCCCAAGUGUCUUGAGCAUGACCAGGCACAUAAAAGUCACUCAGUCAAUGUUUGUUUAAUAGAGAAAUGAAUAAAACUAUGAUAUGGAUAUGGGUAGUUGGACUUUCCAGGCUUAACCAGGAAAUGGGUAGAAAAUACAAACCUGAAAAAAAAAGAAAAUAAGAAACUUGGUGGUAAUACAUUUCAUUUUUUGUUCAUUGCAUCUGUAAGUCAUGGUUUGAAUUCCUGCUAUUGACCAGAAAGUGAUAACCAGGACCCCCUGUCUUUUUCUUGAUACUGGUCUACAAGUGGUUACCUCUCUGUGACUAAGUACAUGCAGUUAUACAGCAUACACGUUAAGAAGCCUUUACUGUAUGGCACCAUAGCCUGAGACUGCUGAAUUUGUCAGAGCAGUUCCGGUGAUGUUGAAGUCACAUGGUGGGUCACACCUGGUGUCUACUACAUGCCAGCCGUGGACAGCAGGACUGCAGACCUGCACGUGACACACUGGGAAGACACUGAGUGAAAUACUUCGUGGUUAGUCUCAUAGUCCAUUCCAUGAAGUAUUAACGAUACUGUUUGUAUUAUCAAGCUGUUUGUGACUUGCUGUAAUUGCAUAUUUUCUGUAUUGUUGAUUUGAGAAGGGGUGACCCAGUCACAGGCUCCUCAGUGAACUGGGUGAACUUAGAAUCUGUGUGAAAGUCCUUUUCUCUGUUUAUAACUACCUAGCUUUGCAUGGUUAUUUAACUUGCUCUUUUGGCCUCAUUAGUAUUAUCUGAUAAUCAGAUGAGCUAAUUAACUUGUUUCCUGUCCACUGAUCAGAGAAUAUGAAAGCUUGGAAGGUGACUCUAGCCAUCCCCUAUUCCACUCCCUCAUUUUUCAGAGGCAGUUGAGGCUCAGAGAAGUUAAGCAGUGUGUCCUAAGUCACACAGUUAUUUAGAAAAAGAGUUGAGGCUGUAACACCAGGGUCUGUCACCCGUUGGCCGUUACAUUUUUCCACGUUUUCCUGAUGCUCAAUAAAAUCCUUCAGAUUUUAUGAUAUCCAAGAUGUGUCUCUGCUAUAAGUUAUAGACCCCUAUUUGAUAGAGAAUGUAGAAUGGACAGAUUUCAUUUGCCAAAUAAUUAUAGAUAUAUUCACCUUUAAGAAAAGUUAAUGCUUUAAAUUAUGAAUAAAGGGAUAAAAGAAGAGGUGGUUAUACAUAAAAAUAUGUAAAUUUAUAUAUAAAUAACUAUCUGGGUAUAUAAAUUUAAAUAUGGAUAUAUAAUACAUAUACAUAAAUAUAUAUCAAGGGUGGCAAAAUAAUGUAUGUUUAUAAUGAAAUCUUAUAAAAAGCAUUGGCUUUGUGACUGGGUAUUCAGCCUAGUGGUUAAGAUGCUGGUAUCCCACAUCAGAGUAUCUGAAUUCUACUCCUGCCUCUGGCUCCUGACUCCAGCUUCCUGCUAAUAGAGACCCCGGGAGGCAGUAGUAAUGGUUCAAGUGCUUUGGUUCCUGACAUCCAUGUGCGAAAUCUGGAUUGAGUUCCAGGCUCCCGACUUCAGCUCUGGCCCAAACCUAUUGCUGGCUAUUGUGGGAAUUUUAGGAGUGAACUUCUGGAUGGGUUCUUUUUCUCUCUCACUCAAAUGCUAUUUACAUCCAUACAUAUAUACUUGCUUUGGAGAGUGGGGGAAGCUGCUAUUCAUUUUAGUUUAGGCCCCAAAAGAAGAUAAAACUGUACAUCUGAAUAUGUACUAAUGGAAAAAUAGGGUGCAACAUAGACUAUAUUAGUUCAGGCAUGUUUUCGGAAAUGUAUAUAUUAGAGAAAAUGAAAUCUCUACAUAUUUAAGAAUUAAAAUAGGCCUUCAUGGAGUAUAAUUCAGGUUUUGGGACACUACAACCCAUAGGCCAAAUCCUGCUACUACCUAUUACUGUAAACAAAGUUUUAUUGCAGCACAACCACACCAACUUGUUUGCUGUCAUUGAUGGCUGUUCUGUGCUGUAACUUCAGAUGGGAGUAGCGGUGACAUACGAGGUACAGCCGCAGCAUCUAAAAUGUUGAUUAAUUGGCCUUUUACAGAAAAAAAGAUUGUUAACCUCUGGUCUAGCUUUUUAUCUGUUUCAUAACAGUUAUUCCACCGCCCUCAGGCAGGGGGCUUCACUUGGCAUCCCACCUUGCUGAGUUCUGAUGAGGGAGAAAGGAAAUGAACUUGAAUCACCUUGUGCAGAGUGUGUUUUAAAACCCAGUCACCAGUUGGAUUAGUCUACACAUGACCUCGUGGUGAUCCUGGGAGAAUGAAAUUAGCCACCCCUGAAAAACAUUCCAUCUCUUUAUUUUUUCCACUUUCUUGGGAGAGUAAUAAAUAUAGCCAACGACUUUGGCUUCUAUUACUAUGUAAGAGCUCUUUAAAAACAUCUAACCAUCUGCGUAAUGGCCAGUAAUAUGUUUCUAAUGGUCACUCUCAAUAAGAUACUUUAAGUUCACCACUGUAAUCGUUGUCCCACUAUGAAAGGCCAGUCCCCAGCUCUGUAGCAGCACAGGCCUGGGGAACAUUCAGAAGAGAGACUUCGGAGAGCUGCAUGUGGAUCUUUCUUCUUUUUUAUGAAGUCUGAGUGUACAGUGUGUGCAUGGGCCACAAAUGAUGCACAAGCCACAAGUAGUGUGGAGGAAUGCCAAGCGAAAACAUUUAUUUAUCUGUUUGACAUUUACACGUCCAGGUACAGCUGCAACUAUGGGUCAGUUUAAUUAAUAUCUGUCCUUUCCUCUGGGAUGACACACAGUGAACUGUUGUCACUGGGAACCCUGAAUGCCUGGUCUGGUCCCAGCAGCUGGUGACAGCUUGGCAAAUUGUGAGAUUCCUAGCUUGAAACAGACUAAAUUGCAGACAAAACAAGCCAUCAGCUGAGUAAAUACUGUAUCUCUGUUUAGCUUCUGUAAGAAGAAGGAGAUUAUCAGGAGUGUUUAGUGUUCAUAAUUGCUAGUAGGAGGCAAAUAGUAGGCUCAGGCUGACUGGAGAUUGUUUCAUUAUAUCCAAUUAACACCCACUUGAUUAUUCUUAAUUACUUCUGCUUGAUGACAGAGGCGUAAAAAUGUCAUACUUCACAUGUACAAGUGGCAUCUGGGUCAUCAAUAUACAUAUAUGUAUUUGUAAUAUCACACCCUCAUUGCUAUAGGGGAGAUAACGUGGUCUUGGCAGAGGGAUGGAAAGUGAGAUGAUCACUUAUUUAAGAUUUUGGUAAAUACUAGGGGAAAUGUAAAUAAGCUGCCAAAAAGUAGAUAUUACCCUAAAAAUAGGUCCUUCUGCAGCAAUCUGGUUUAGAAACAUUCUUUAAAAAUGCUUCACUACCCAUUUGCAUGAAAAUUCUUUUUCUUUCCAGUGUUGUAGCAUAAAGAUCAUUGAUUGUAAAGGGGAAUAUCUGAAUACAAACUUUCCAUAAAAAAAUGAGCCAUACACACACACACACACACACGCGCGCGCACGCUUGCGCGCACGCACGCAUCCAGUGACAUGAAUGGAAAUUUCUACCCGAAUGGCACUGGUGGAGAUUUAAAAAACAAAGACAAGGGGCUGGACUAUGAAGUAGUGGGUAAAGCUGUCGCCUGCGGCGCCGGCAUCCCAUAUGGGUGCCGGUUUGUGUCCUGGCUGCUCUACUUCCUAUCCAGCUCUCUGCUAUGGCCUGGGAAAGCAGAGGAGUAUGGUCCAAGUCCUUGGGUCCAUGCACCCAUAUAGGAGACCUGGAAGAAGCUCCUGGCUCCUGGCUCCUGGCUCCAGAUUGGCACAGCUCCAGCUGUUGCGGCCAGUUGGGGAGUGAAGCAGUGAAUGGAAGACCUCUCUUUCUUUUUGUAUAUAACUCUGACUUUCAAAUAAAUAAAUAAAUAAAUCUUAAAAAAAACUGAGAUAAAAGCAGUCUCAGUACAAGAAUCUUCAUGAGCAGCUUCCUGGUGAAGAGUGUGAAGUGUUAGUCAGUGAUGUGCUCUUGCUGGCAUGUAAAAAGGAGAAACACGAUGAGCCAGGCUGUCUUCAAGCUGAAAUGAGGACCACUACGAGGGAUACCAGAAGUCCCGUGUCCUUUCACAAGUACAGAUAUUAAUAGGGCCUUUCCCUUCAGUUACUUUCUUGAGUUGGGUGGGGUUGCUGGUACAGCAUGGCUGUGGGGGUGGGGAAGGUCUUUGCUUUGGGGAGCAGAGGUUGUUAGAGUCUUGAGCUGUUCUUCCUUGCUUGCUUGAGGUGCCGGUGAUCUUGCCCUGGAAAAUACAUAUUGUUGGAUUUUUUUUCCUGGAUCAGUUUAGGCAUUCAAUCAUCCUAGGUAAAGAGGGAAGAAACUUGGCAGCAGCAGAGUGGUGAGGUUGGGUGACUGUGCCAAGACCUUCUUAGAACUCACAACUUUCUAAAGAUCAAAACUGCACAUGCAGUAGCAGCAGUGUGGUUCCCAACAAAUCCACUUUGAGCUCUUGAACUCCUGCAGCAGUUAGUUUUUGUGAUAGCACUAAACCAGGCACAUGAGGGGUUGAGAAAUGGGUCAGGCCCUCCCCGACUGGGGAGACAAGACUUUUCUGUUCCACGGUCGUGUUUCACUAAUAGUGAAAUGUUGUUCAGACUGAAGGCUGUGGAGGUUCAGCACAGGAGGCUGAGCUGAUUAGAGAAGAUCCAAAGUCAGUGCUGGAUCCUGAAGGGUCUGUAGACCUGAGCAGCUGGGAGAAUGUUUCAGGUGCUGGUAGUUCAGAGGCUGGGGCAGGGGGGAAACGUCCUCCAUGUUCAUGGCCCCUUUUCCCUCUGAUGCAGACCGGCCCAAGGCCACAGCCAAGCUUGAGGAACAGCUCCAAGGAGGGCGCAUUAAUGAGGAUUCUCUGGGAUCUAUUUCCAUUAUGAGGGGAGAGAUGUCAGGAAAUCUGUCAAAGUCAAAAAUUCAUAAGUAUAUUUAAAGAUUAAAGCCUGAAAUGGAAUAUCUGAGGCAGUCAUUUGAAAUCUAUUUAUAUACACACACGCACAUACAUGUGGUGGCUGAUAUCUAAAAGGCACACAAAACAUUAAAAAAUCACUGUCUGCCAAUUGCAUACCCUCCCGUGAAUAAUUAAGAGGUAAUAUUGGGGAAUAGAGAAGUGUCAGGGUGUAAUUGGUUCUGUCUUCACAAAUGAUGUUCGGGACCAAAGUUGUUCAUCUUUGCUGGUGAUAAGAGCACCCGGUGUCAUGGUUCUUGGAGUGUGUGGAAGGCGGCGUAUGGCAGGCUGUGUGAGGGUCGGUCAUAAGGCUGACUGGGCCCUGGUGGCUUUAUUUACUCCUGGCGAUGGCAAGGGUUUUCUGUACCACGUGUUGCACAUUGCUACACGGUGUACCUGGGUAGAAGGUUGGGUGAUGCCCGCUGCUUGUGGCAUAGAACUUGUCCUGUGUGCCACAGAACUUAUGCCAACUGAGGAAACCCUCAGGGAAGCUGUUGACAGUGUUCCAGGUCUUCCUCACAUGAAGACAUGAGUGGAUUGUUUAGUGGUGCAGACAUGUUGUCUUUUAGGCCCUCCUUACUCAAAGUGUGGGUUAGAUUGCAGAAGCAUUGUCAUCUCCUGAGAGCUUGUUAGAAAUUCAGAUUCUUGGGCCCCGUCCCAGACCUACUGGCUAGGAAUCAGUAUUUUCACAAGGCUCCAGCAUUUUCUUAGGCCUGUUUCUGUCUAGGAAGCAGUGCUACAGAGUUCACCACUUGGUUCCGGAACAAUUUUGGACUGCAUGUCUGUGAUUAAUUAGCUAAUAACUGCCAGCCAGUCCACCCCUCUAAGCCUCAAUUUCUCCACCUCUAAAGUGGGGGUGUUGAUGCCUGUCCCACGUAUGCCUCAGAACUAUUGGAUGAUGCAGGAAAAUAAUGCAAGUGAAAGCACUUUGUGCUUACAGUGCCUUGGUACCCGUGCUAGUAGCAACAGCUGUCCUUUGUAAUCAGCCAGGGAGUGUUAAGCACAAUGCCAGGGCUCAGGCUCCACCCACACAGCUUCUGAUUUAAUUAGUCUCAGUUGGGGCCAGUGGUUGGUACAUUUUAAAAGCUUGACUGUUGAUUCUAAUGGGCAGCUGCCAGGGUUUUGCUGUUGUUCUUAUGAAUUUAAUUAUUAAGUGUCCUCUAUCAGCUUCUCCUCCAGAACCAUGAGAUGGAUUGGAGUGGGUAGUGAUGGACUAGCAUGUAUGGUGAGAAAACAGUUUUGCCAGUAGCUUCUGUGUAUAUGUGGAUCUGUGUAUCCUGUUUCUCCAGAGAUGCCACCAUUGGGAGCACUUGACUUGCUUGUUGGACUCAUGGCUUGAGCAUUUCCCUGUGUGUCCUUGUGUAGGUUGGAAACUGUGAGCACCUGGAGGGCAAAGCCUGCCCUUCACUCUGGCCUGGUACAGCCAGUGUCUCACCCACACACACAGGGUGUGCAUGAAGCAAGGAUAGGAGACAGGAAUGGGAGGCUUGGUGCUGUGGUAGAAAUGCUUGUGUUGCCCCUAAUUAACAGGUUGCAGGUGAUGGUAUCGGCAGGUGAAGGCUUUGGAAGGUGAUUAGUUCAUGAGGCUAGAGACCUCAUGAAUGGGAUUUUACUGAGAGGACACAAAUAGAAGGUGCCAUCCGUGAACCAGAAUGUGGACCCUCACCAGAUCCCUAGUCUGCUGACACCAUCUUGGAACUCUCAGUAUUGAGGAUGGUGUCUGAUAAUGUGCAGGUGUUUGGAAGCCACCGAGUCUGAGAUAUUUUGUUGUAGGUACUGGAAUGGACUAAGACAGCUCAGUGUGAUGUUAACCCCUUCCUGUUGGUUUUACCUGUCUGAACUCCCUGGUUCACGUAAUUGCAGCGAAGCACACUGGAAAAUACAGAUGAAAAUAAAGAUAAUUGCUUGUGAAAGUGUUUUACAGACUAGGCGAUACUACGCUCCUACACAAGUGUGCAUGUGUGUGUGCCUGGCUAAUUUUGAGUAGUGGAGUUGUGUGGUGAAAGACUACCAGGUUCCAUGCCAGAAGAGUUGUCCCCAAGUGGAGAGCAUGGUCUUUUAGCACAAGAGAAGUUCACACUGGGGAAGCGCUCACUCUGCGUUUUCACUACUGCUUUCAAGAAAUCUCACCUGACGGUCUGUUCUGUUCCAAGUAUUGUGAACAACAGCAUCUACAACAGGAAACAAAACCAAAAUUGGUAGGUCAAGCUGUCGUCAGGGAGCUUCCAGCCUCUGGUGUAGUGGUGGUGGGGACGGGGUGACGGGAACACAGUGAACCCAUGUGUCUGUGUCCAAGACAAGCAGGUGUGAAGACAACUAGAGCAAAGCGAGAGGAGUAGAGAGAGGAGGUGGUGGAUGCCAUUUGCACUAAAGGGCAUCGAGGAGCCUCUCUCUGGAGAACGAUGUCUCAGUGGAGACUCAGAGGAGAGGGUGAACUUCAUGGCAGUGUGAGGAGGUGAUAGUGUGUGCUGUCUUGUUGGUGACUUUGCAGUGUGGCAGGAAGGCUGUCAUAGUGAGAGCAGGCAGUGAGUGGAUCUCUGGGAGGCUGGGUCGUGGAGGACCUUUUAGAAGUCAGUCAGGACUUUGGGUUUCAUUCUGCACUAGAAGGGAAGCCAUUGGGAGACGUGGAAUGUAAUCAGACUUGUGCUUCAGCUCAACCUGGUGGUCACUCAAGAUGUGUUUGUGAGUUGGGGGUACACCAGCAGGGAAGCCAAAUAGAAAGAGUGACCAGUCAUGAGGCUGUUGUGAUUGUCCAGGCAGGAGCUCCUGUUGGUGUGGAUGAGUGUGGUAGUUGAACUGGUUCAGCCGAGGAAGCUGUGGAUUGUGGUGCCUGGAAUCUUGGCCUAGGCCUCAGGCCUGCAGCACAAAGCAGGAUGGAUGAGAUCAUCCAACUCAUUACUUACAGGUGUUCUUUAAGGGAGCGCUUAGGAAGUUUUACUCAAUUUAACUGAAGACAUAAGUGAUGCCAUUCCCAAUUCAGGGCAAUGGCUUAGAACCUGACUCAAUGUCCUUUUUACUAAGUAAUUAUCCAGAUUUCCUUACUAAAUGUUAUUUUAUGUAUUAUGUUUAAUAGCCUCUUUCUUUCAGCUAUGGUAGGAUGGUAAUAGUGCCGCUGAUAAUGUAUCACAUACUCAUCUUAAAUUUCUGCCUGUGGCAUCGGAGGGAGGAUUCCAAUCAGGGCGCAGACCAAUUCCAUGGCCCUUCUCACUGAUCCUGGGUUGGUUUGCAUCUCAGGGGCCUAAGGGGCCACAAAUAAUUUCUUAGUCUAUUCUUCAUUGCUCAACCUCAUCUGGCCAGAUUGCAGCUUUGUCCCCAUUCAGAGCCCCUUUUGGAGAGCUGAGGGUAACAGAGAGGGGAAGACCUGGUGCAGAGGUCCUGUGUAGAAUAGAUUUGGGGUCAGUGGUUAGAUGUCAGAGAUGGCUGAUAGACAUUGAGGAACCCCUAUCAUUGUACCUCAAGAAAGCCCAUGCCUUUCAGUACCAUAAUUCCUGCCUCUUAUGAAUGGUUCACUGGAUAGAGCUCAUGUAGCAGGAAUUGGUGUUAAUGUUUGCAGAGUGUACUUGUUGGACAGUAUGUACACUGAUUUCUUCAUGAUGACUUCAUUUGGUAAACAGUCUUGCACUAGCUACUGAGCUACUGUUUGGAAAUUGGCCCCCAAGAUACUGAGUUCUCAGUGGUUAUUGGACAUGCAGAGAUUACCAAAAUAAUGAUCAUUUGUCUCUACCUGCCAAGAAAUUAUGCCUUGCAGAGAGUUGAAACUAAAUCCCAGAUUAAAAAAAAAAAAGUGUGCCUGUGUAGGAGGUGGGACUACAUUUAUAAACAAAUUAGAGGUAUUUCCUGCCCUCUGAAAGUUUCUGGUCUAGUAGAGGAAAUGGGGCACGCUUGCGCGAGACAUCAGUAGCAGAACAGUGCUUGGUAGUAAUGUGAGAGCAGGUGAGGGACAGAGCUUCCAGGUUGCAUGAAGGUGUGUGGACCCUUUGCACAGCAGAAUCUCUAGGGGAACUUUUGAAAACUAGGAUGCCUGAGCUAUACCACAUGGUUGUUGGACAACUGUGUGCUUAAAAGUUGCUUGGAAAUUCUGAUGUACCGUGAGUCUUAAGACGCACUGCUUUGUAAGCCCCUCUGGGAUUCAGAUACAUAGAUGGAGGCAGGAACUAAGAGCCUUGCGUGUACAAGAUUGAAGAACCCUGAUGUGGGGUGCUGCAAGACUCUUUGCUGGGGUGACUGCCGUUCCCCGGCCUGGAGGGGAAGACUUGUAUGGAAGGAAAAUAGGGACUGCAGGGGGAAAGGGGAAGCUUGCAGAAAGACGUGGAGUCCUGGAAGGAGAUCGAACUGUAUCCUGAAAGCUGCAGGGAGAUCCUGCGGUCGCCACCAUCUGUUCUGUGACUUGACUUUCACUUGCGAAUGUUUGGACUUUGCUUCAUAGAUGAUGGGCAGCUUUGAGCCAGGAGCAACAUGAGGAGGGUGGGGGCUGAAGACAAAUCUGUCAAGUGCUGGGUAGAUUGCAGUAGAGCAUGUCUGGGGACAAGGAUCAGCUGGACGAGCUAUUUCCUAAAACCUGAAAACCAACAAAAAGAAAUGUUGACUGAGCCUUCACUCGGUGCCAAGGUGUUCAUUUAAUUCCUUUAUAUGUGUUGUCUUCACAAGCACCCUGUGAAACUGGUGAAGCCCAUUUUAGAGAUGGGAAAACUGAGAAACAAAGAAGUCCAUUGUCCAAAGAGACAGGCUCCUAUCAUUCACCUCCCCAAAUGCCUACAAGUGGCCUGGACUGGAUCAGACUGAAAUCAUUCUGAGUCUACCACAUAAGUGACACAGAUCCAAUACUUGAGAGGCCAUUUGCUGCCUCCCAGGGUGCCCACAAGCAGGAAGAUGGAAUUGGGAAUGGAGCUGGGACUUGAACACAUCAGCUAGGUGUGAGAUAUGAGUGUCUUAACAAGAAUGUUAACUACUGGGCCUAAUGCCUGACCCCUGAGUUUUUAGCUACUUUAACAUAGGCUCAGCUGGCACCGUGGCUCACUUGGCUAAUCCUCCGCCUGUGGCGCUGACACCCUGGGUUCUAGUCCCAGUUGGGGUGCCAGGUACUAGUCUGGGUUGCUCCUCUUCCAGUCCAGCUCUUUGCUGUGGCCCGGGAGGGCAGUGAAGAAUGACCCAAGUGCUUGGGUCCCUGCACCCGCAUGGGAGACCAGGAGGAAGUACCCGGCUCCUGGCUUUGAUCGGUGCAGCGCCAGCCAUAGCAGCCAUUUGGGGAGUGAACCAGUGGAAGGAAGACCUUUCUCUCUGUCUCUCUCUCACUGUCCAUAACUCUCUCUCUCUCUCUCUCACUGUCUAACUCUUCCUGGCAAAAAAUUAAAAAGAAAUAGGCUCUUUAAUGCCUAGAUUUUGGUAGUGAUAGGUGGUAAUAGAAACUGAUAUCCAUAAUAUGAAGAAUAAACUUCAGGUGUGGCACGAUAUGGGCAUAACUUAGGAGAGUCACUGGGGAACAGUGUCUGGCAUUGAAAAUAAAGUAGGGUUUAGGAUGUCUCAUGAGGGAAAGCAGACAACCUUUCCAAAAUAGUGCAUCUGUGUUCAGAACAGCACAGAGGAGAGGGAAAGGACAUGGCUAGCAAGUUGGCCCUGAAUGUACUCUACUAAGAAACAAGGACAUUGUGUGAGAUGUGAGUACUGGGAACUAGAGGGAGCAUUGUUUUUUGAGUCAUCCAGAUAUAGGUUUGGGUCCCAGGCCUCCUCUCAUUAGUCUCUGACCUAGGGCAGUUCAUACAAAAUGUGCAUCUCCGUUUUCUCUUCCUUAGAUUAAGGAUGCUGAAAUCAUAACCCUCUUAAGAAUGCUGUGAAUAUGGAGCUCAGGGAUAGAAAGUGCAGUCAAGUCUGUGACAUAAUACACAUUUCACCAGUACCAGUUUUGUUACUGUUAGGAUUCUGCAGAUUAUGACAAUUUGAGAACGUUGGAGUGGGAUCUUGAGAUGUCUACUUUGGAUGGGUGUAGCAGAAACUUGAGAGAUUCUAGAAUUCCAGUUAUGGCUCCAUCAUCUGAUAUCUGUAUGACUUGGAAUAGUUAACUUAACCAAAAGCAUAACCUACCUUGUGGAUUUAUCAUGGUGAUUAUGUAUUUUUUUUUAUUAAUAAAGCACUUAAAAUGGCAGGUAAUCUGCCCACUAGAUUCAUUGAUGAUCUGCAAAUUUUUCUUUUAAUUAUGACUUCUCUCCUCACUGCCUCCUCCUAUGAUAUGUUUACAUUUUCUAGGUGUCCUUGGUAUGUACUCCUGCAAAAUCUUAUUCAGCUAUUGAGAAUGCACCUAGAUGCGUAGUCUCUGCUGCCUCCACACGUAGACUCAUUGAGCAAGGCCACUAUGCCUCCUGCAUGGGUGAUGAUUCUGCAGUAAGGGCCCAGUCCAUUGGUUGCAGGAGUCGUGCUGGGCUCUAGGCUCCUGUUGUCAGUCUUCUCACUGAAUAUUUAUGCAACCCUCCCCUCCCCAUGGGAACCUAUGCAGGCAUGGACCCUGCACAAGCUAACAGUGCUAACUGGGAACAUGAUUUUGUGUAUAUGUGUGUGUGUGUGUGUGUGUGUAUGAGAGAGAGAGAGAGAGAGAGAGAGAGGGAGAGAGAGAGAGAAUAUGUUUCUAGCCUAAAGGUAGAUCUUAUGGUGCUUUGCUUUGUUUCAUUUUUUUGGUUGUAAAGUUGAAUAAAAGGCACUUAGUCCAAAACUUUAAAAAAUUGCUAUUGGGCAAAGUAAUUUUGUGUCAGGCUUCUGUUCAGGCCAGAUUUACACUGGUUAUAAAUCUCUGAAAUUAAGGUCUUACCGUAGGAAAGCGGAAAUGUAUUCAACAUUAGCAGAUCCUACCCUGAACCAUGGCUGUUCGCUUACCAUAUAUAAUACAAGGAUCUAGCUAUGUGUUUGGGGUAAUAAUAAGUUUAAAUAUGCCUCUUACAAUGGAUAAUAGCUCUCCAAUGAGUAGCAGAAUUUUCUAUCAACAUUUCUUUCCCUAGAACCAAAGGUUAAGUUGGAGAGUUUGAUUUAAUGACAGAGUUAAUUAGGCCUUUAACAUUACAGGGUUCUUGCCUUUCGUUUUCCAAUCAAGAUCAUAGUCUAGGGUCAGUGACCUCAAGGAAGUGGGGAACAUAAUGCCAGCACUUGUUCUUCUGACAUUUGAGGGAUGGUUAGGGUAGGAGAUUAGGGGUGCUUAGCAGUCUCUGAGUAGUAGCAAAGGGCCUGCCUCCUAGUCCUAAAGUGUUUGCUUCUCAGUUUCCCAAACCUUAGACUUAGAAUAUGGCUUAGCUUUAAAGGCCUUUAGCAAUCAGCUCAUCAGUCCUUUUAUUUUAUGGCUGGAGGAAUUGAGGCUAAAAUGAUUAGGAAAUUUGUCAGUGGUUGCAUAGGUCAUUUGGGGCAAAACAAUGGAUUUUUAAAGUUAGGCCAUCUACUCCUAUUUAGAAUGGUCUAUUUUUGAGCAGUCAUAUAAAGAAAAAUGAAAUCUCUUCUUGGUUUGUGGGAUUUAUGCUGUUUGUGAACUAGUUUUGGGAGUGCAUUACCUCCUGCUAUUUUUCAGGGCAAACAUAUUCCACUCAAUCUCAGUCCAUGAACAUGCCACUGAAGACUCUUAGUUGCAAACCAAGAAAUAUCUUCUUGCUCUCUACAUACAAAAGAAAUGGAAUCCAUUGAAAUGGCAUUAAGAGUUCUUCGUGAUUGACUGGCAGUUGUAGGAGCCAAGGAAGGGGAAGGGGAAGAGAUUAAUACAGGUCUGGAAGGUGCUAGACAUGAGGCAACUUUGUGUCCUGGUGCUUGCCAUGGCUCCAUCACAAAUGAUUUCUCAGCAGAUCUCUGUCUUUGCUUCACUUGUUCCCCAUACCAAGUCUUGGUGGAAAAUGGGAAAAACUGAGCCUAGAGACUUGGUGUUGAUUUGAGUGACAGGGAGAGGGGAUGUCUGGAUGCUCUGGCUUCUCUUGGGCCUUGCAGAUGAGUACUGCCCACUCUAAGACCACAGCAAUGAAGAAUACGCCAAAGAAAGAAAAAAAGUUGAGGGUUGAAUUUUCUCAAAUUAAUAAAAAUUAGUUUUUUUAAAAAAAUUAAUUCUGAUUUUUAAAAAAUUCUCUCAUAAAAACUCUAAGAGAAAAGACUUUAUGAUUCUUAAUGAAGCUUGAGCAUGUUCUCUGGGAAAACAUUCCAAAUUAUGGAAUAGUGCAUAGAUAACUUUGGGAUAUGGUGUAUUUAUGGGCUUAGUCUGUUCACAUUUUUAGCUGAAAUAGAAGUCUCUUUGUGUAGAGUCUUAACCUUGAAGUACCAGUCUUAUGGUAUGAAUUUUGGUCAAUGUAAGGGGCCCUAUUUGAAAAUAUAUUGGAAGAUAUUGACAUAUCAGAAAUGCCCCCAUAGGACUGAGCAUUUGGUGCAGUGUCAAAGACACCACUUGGGAUGUCUGCAUUGUGUGUUGGAGUGCCUGAGUUUGACUCCAGGCUCUGCUCCUGAUUUUAGCUUCUUGCUAGUAUGUACCCUGGGAGGCAGCAAGUGACAUCUUAAGAGGUUGGGUUCCUGCUACUCAGAUUGAGUUCUGAUCUCCUGGUUUCAUCCUGUCUCAGCCCUGGCUUUUGUGGGCUUUUGAGAAGUAACUCAAUUGAUAGAAGAUCUCUCUCUCUCUCUCUCUCUCUCUCUCUCUCUCUCUCUCUGUGUGUGUGUGUGUGUGUGUGUGUGUGUGUGUCUUCCUUCAUCUCUCUUUAUGAGCUCCAAACUUCUCAAAAAGAUUGGUUCCUGUUUUGGCUGAGGAGAUGCUUCUGCUAAACUUGGUUCAUGGUCUUCAGCAAACAUUUUUUACUAGAUGUAGCACCAGGGUCUUCUAACUUUUUUUUAAAGGGAUAGAGUUUAUUGGGGGAAACCCAACAGACUGGAGGGACUGGAGGGAAUGGGCGUAGUCUUAUCUAUGGUGCGAUCUACACCCCAACACCAUCCCAGGCUCCAGCCCCACCCUCACCCCCCCGCCCCACCAUCGCUGGAAGCCAGGCAGCCACAUGGCCCAAACACCAGAGUAAGGGAAAGAGUUCAUUGGGGGAAACCCGACAGACUGGAGGGAAGAGGUGAAGAAGGAAAAGAGGCAGAAGUAGAGUAUGAGAGAGAGAGACAGAGACAGAGAGAGACAGAAAUCAGGAGAGAGAGAGAGAGACAGGUGUUCAGGAUCAGGUCCUUUUAGAACUUUGCCGGGGGGCGGGCAGGGAAGUAGGAGCAGUGAAUCCUAUUAGGAUGGGGGUGGGGAUGACACCGGUAGUUGGGCCACAUGACUACCUGGCCCCCAGCAAUUGCGGUGGGGGGGCGGGGUGCAGAGCCCAGGAAGAACACCAGGGACUUGUAUCCAUGAAGAAGUUUAUCAUCUCAUGGAGAAGGCACACACUGAGACAGAUACAGUGACCAACUACUUCAGCUUCUUGGGUUUGGGGAUGGAGAACGGAUAGAUGAAACACCCAACUAUGGCUUUGGUGCCGAACCACCUCAGGACUGUGAUAGCCCCAAGAAUGAAUUCUGCAGGAGUAAGAACAGAGUCCAGGAGAAUCAUCUUCCUCUCCGGCUGACUUCACUCCCUUUCUGGAAUGUUCUUAGGGGAACACUGUGUAAAUCCACAUCAGGCCCGGGAGAUACAUGUUUCAUGACAGGCUUCUGUCUAUUAAUUUGGGUAAAUAUUUGUGUGUGAUUUUAUUUACAUUGGUGAGGCAGAACAGUAGUUCUCCAGCUUUGAUGUGUGUGAGCUGUGGAGAUUAGAGCUGGGACUCUUCCUUUGAGGAAACAAAUACUUUUGUGUAGAUUUCAAUGAGAUAUAAAUCAUACCCAGGAAGUUUACAGUUGAGUAAGAAUGGUAUAAUUACUGCUUGUAUACCACAAGAGGACAUAUUUAUGAAACAACUUGAAAAAGCUUGUAAUCCCUGUGUGUAUUUUGAAUAACUAAUUGCUAUGUCAUCGUGGCAUAUUUGCACCACAAGAGUUAAGUCUGUCAAAUAUUUCCCUCCGAAAACCUUGUUUUAAGGGAUUUUUAACUUGGUCGUAAAAAUGUGCUCCAAGUUGGAGUUGACUUGAUGGGAGUCUGUGCUCGGAACACUUGAUUUGAAUGGUGCCAGUCAGAGUUAAAUUACAGGCUGGGAAAAAGGAAACAAAUUUUUUAAAAAGGAGGUGUUUAUGGUUCCCGGCUCCCCUAAGUACUUCUUGAGGAUCAAAAUAGCCUCUUUAAAAUAAAUUGCAGACCAUUAGUACAUGGUAGAGGAAACCCCUUUGAGACUACACUGGGGGAGGGGAAGGCAAGGACACACAAGAGAAGAGAUUGACUUGGGUAACUUUCAGCUCUGUCUACACAGUGUAGACUACUGGUGCAAUAUACUGCAGAGUGGUCUGUGCAUAUAGGUGGCUCUUCUUGUACCCACAAGGAAUGUGUCUUUCAGGCUGAGUGUUCAUCUCUGUAAUUAUACUCUGACUCUAAAUCUUAAUUUGCAUGUUCUCCCUCCACAAACUCACUCAGUCUUCUUAAAUAAAUAGCAGUGUUGCCUGCCCGCCUUAUACCCUGUAGAUCUUAAAGGCCUGGUAAGUACUUAAGACCUUGAAUUUGUCCUGUCACUGAUGAAUAACAACGUGUCCACUUGACACUUGUGUCUGUCCAGAGAUACCUUUGUACCCGGUACAGACAUCUAAGCCAAAAAGGCAUUCUUGGGCCAGCAAUAUUGACUUGAUUCCCUACUUAGUGCCAGCCUAGGUAUCUUUCCAUCUCUCCUGUCAGUAGCAAAAAAUUCAAGAUAAUGAGAAAGAGAGAGGAGAGAUGGAGGAGAGAGACUUUCUCUACUUGUGUGAAUUAAGUUGAAGCCCAGCAGCCUCUGAAAUCCAGCACCUACCACCGCUGGAGUUGAGACAGGUUAACAGCCUGGCUUGUUCAACCUGUAUUCAGAUUUGUCUUUUUAAAAACUUCACACAUGUCUUAAUGACAUUUUUUUAAAGAAAGCUAAUUGCAUUGGUUUCUCUAAGAGGCAUCACUUUAAACAAUCCAUCCUGACUGUGAAAACAAAUACAUGGUUGACUUAUUUCAUUUAUUUUCCCCCCAAACUUAAAUGAGGAUAAAGCCAUUCUGGAUAAGAAGACAUGUGUGUGUCUUUGUCACAUCUUUUAUCAUCACGACUGCUUUUCCAAAUAAUAUAACUUGUGACAAAUGUGAACAUUAAUUACGGUUAACAAAGAAAUGUCAUGUGAUGUGUUCAUGGGGGAGAGAGGAAAAAGUCCCAGACAAUCAAUGAGAUUACAUCUUCCACCCAGCUUCAAGUCAAAGUGCAAAAGUCAGAAAUCAAACACCAUCAGUUAUCAAAUUAUGUUAAUGAUUCUAAUGAAAGCUUCUGGUAUUUGCUCAAGAGUGUGUUGCUGUAAUGGUAACUAAUACAACAAGAGAAGCUGAUUGCCAUGAAUUAAUUAGAACUGACGGCUGGAGUUUCCUUCUAUUUAUUUAUUUAAAUAUUGACAAUCUGUUUAAAACCAAGGGGUUUUUUGUUGUUGUUGUUAUUUUGUUGUGUUUUUCCCCACUGUAUUCUGUUUUUUCUCUCUCGAAGUCAUCAACCAGCCAAAGAGUGAAAAUGGAAAUGUAUUUUCUCAUACCUCAGGUGCCCCUAACCUAAACCAACAGCAGACAAAUUCAGCUAAAGUGGAGAGUGGGCUUGAAGACCCCAUCCACGGGGACAGGGACUCAGGGGAGGGACCCAUAUGAGGCCCCCUUGCCUGAUGCCCUCUUGCCUUCUCUUUCUGGCCCCAGAAGAGGCUUCUGCACUGAAACACCUGGACAUGCAGUUUGCCCAGUCUUCUUUACCAACCUUCCCUGUGGCUUACUCUUGGGUGUGGGGGCGUAUGCCUCAGUAGCAUCAUACAAUGGUGGGAGGUGUGGCCCAGGAGAGAGGUCCUGGAGACUCUAGAAGAACCUCAGGGUUGUUGGGGUUCUCAGUACCUGUAACCUUGUCUCCUAACUGGGAAAUAGGCUGCAGCAAAUACCCUUGGCCUCUAAAGUCCUUACCCUGUAGGGUUAGGCGGAAGUUGAAAGGAGCCAGGGUGGGGCCCUCUCAAGUACUUGGCCUAGGAGUCUCCAGUUGCUUGGCUCAAACAGCAGCACUGGGCAUGCAUAGUCUGUGCUUUAGGGUCUCUCAUUGUCUCCAUCUGGAGCUCCUUCACUGAAGUCUCUCUAAGUUUCUCUCUUGAUGUUUGCUCACUCGUUUACUCCUUCAUUAUUCAACAUGUAUCAGGCCCUUACUGUAUCAAGUUCUGGAGACACGAAAGAUAAGUGAGUCAAAGCUUCUUUCUGCCUUCAGAGAUUGCACGGACUUUUCAAACUAUAACUCAUUCCUAAAUAGGAACUUGAGAUCAGUUCAAAGUCCUUGAUGUUACAGGUCUGUCUAACAUGCUGUCCUCUGUGUGUUUUUUCUUGUUCCUUAUUGUGGCAGCAUCUGUAAUGGAUGAGGAAGGAGUACAGUCCUGAGGCUUGGGAGAGGGAAAGUGCUGCAGCGGCCCCGUUGCUUCUGGAAAUGGCCUCCUGUCGCGCUUCCCUGGGCCUUCCCGGCUCCCACUUGACUGCUGGAGAACUGUUUCUACUGCAUCCUGAUGAGAUGCAGAUGGAAGGCAGAACCCAGCAGAGACCGAGAGUCCCACGGUUCUCUUCCAUGGCUGUGAUGGAAAGGCGAGGCCCGAGAGGGUCUACGCUAGGUUCUCGCUCCAGGCCACUCCUGCCUGCCCCAGCGGAGCUUCUGCCUGGAAAAUGAAUUGGGUUAAAAUCAACACAUGGUAUGCUCACAUUCAGUUCUCUUUCUGUUCAUGUCAUUGAGGGAAUUUCCUAACCUUUGCACCAUGGAGGAAAGGUUUUGGUCAUAACCAGAUGGGUAUGGACGGGGUUUUGUUUCUAAAACACCGAUUGUGACGUCUGGAUUGGUGGGCACAGGUCAGUUUUGGAGCUCUGGCUCAUGGAUGUGGAGAAGCGUGUCCGACUGUUGAAUUUCCUUGGCUGUCUAAAUUGGUACAUUAGGGCAAAAGCGGUUUGCACAUUUGCAUAGUUGAUUUCAUUACUAUCGCCAUUAUUGAUGCCUAGCUCCUCUGAAAGAAAGGAGCUAUAAAAGCAAAUAAAAUCACUUUGCGAUUCCAUUAUUGGAUAAAUUGCCACAUUACUGCCUGCGUUUUAGGGCUAAAGCUAUUCCCCACAUUUGCAUAGUUUAUUUCAUUAUCAUUAUUAAUAACAACAACAAUAAUAAUGAUGAUGACUAGGAUCCUUGAAUGAAAGACACUAGACAAAUGCCAGAGCCUGCAGAAGCCUUUAUAGACUUGCUGCCAACACAGGGAGUCCCUUUAUCUGCUGCUGCGAGGCCGCCUCACCAUCCCAUGGGCCAGAAGCAUUGAACAGACCCCACAUUAACACAGUUCACACUUUGCGGGGCCAGAUGACUGGUGUUUUUAUGGACCUGUGAGCUGUUGUGACCACUACAGAUGGAGUUUGGGAGUCGCUUGUUCAGUCCUUUUGCUUACUGUAGCGCUUGAGGGGUGGUGCACAAGCUUGCCGAGCCUCAGUUUCCUUAUACAUGAAAUGGGGUGAAGAUGGUGGCCUUGCAGUGUGUGAUGAAGAGCAGAGGAAAUGGUGAAUAAGAACAUGUUCUGCAGAUCAUAAAGCAACACAUCAAUUUUGGAGACUGAUCCUACUGUAUUGAACCUGGAAGUGAUCACUGUGGCUGGGCUGCUAUGUGCUAGGGACACAAGCUGCCCCAGGGCUUGCUUGUCUCUGGCUGGGAGAAUUUUCGAAAAGCUUUCUUAGACUACUAAGGCAUUGCCCUCUAAGAUUAGUAGGGAGAAAGUCUUUAUGUAUAGUUAGCAAUCUUGGAUAUUCACAACUCACUUACUUUGGUAACAAACAUCCCUAGGGUGAUGUAGCAGCUGUAAUGCCCUUCUUUCUUAUUUAACGGUUUCCACUUGUUUCUGUGUCUUGUCCUUGGCUAUGGAGCCAGGAAAUUCAAAGUCCUUUUGUCUAUUAAUUCUGAGUUCUGAUAGUGAAAGGAAGGUCCAUUGGUGGCCGUCUAUGGUCUGCUGGAGAAUUUUCCCCCUGGUUUUGUUUUUAUUAUUUUAUUUUAUUUCUGCUGCACCAGGGGCUCCAAAAAAAUGAAUGUGUCAGUAAAGGAUUUGACAGUAUGUUACGACAGUCAUCAAUCCACUGAGCCCUGUAGCCAUAAAUAAGCUUCAUACGCUGCCACACUAAAGAGGACAGUUUUUCUUCUCCAGGACAUUGAAAAUGUCACAGCGAGGGAAUUGUUUGUCCCUGUCUCCACGGCAACGCCACCAGCACUUAUCAUUAACUUUCACACCAAGAUUUUAAUCAGCGCUCUUUGCGGCCUGAGACCAAGGCAACAUCAGCCCAAAUUUUCAAAGCCGUUAUUCUAAUUAUGACGAGAAAGCCAUAGAUUGAUGAGCUGAGUUUUCUGCAAGGACUGGUGGCAGUUAAUUCCUGUGACCUGCGUGGCUCGGCGAGUCUCUCUCAGAGAUGGAGUCUUGAAAGUUCGAUUAUUAGUGACAGCUUGUAAGUGAGAGGAGCCUUAUCUCUCCAGAGAGUGUUGAUAACUUGAGACAAGGUUUAACUAGGAAGUAGUGAGACAGUGGAAGGAGGGAGAGAGGGGGAGAAGGGAGAAGGAAAGUGCACACUCUAUCUGCAGCUGCAUCCAGCGUAAUGAGAAAAUACAGACAGGCACAAUUUCACAAGUUGUAAAUUCUAGUAGCCUUCAGUUGUAAAUUCUGGUGGAGGUUGUUUUACUCAGCUAUCUGAUAAUGUGUGAAAAUAUUUGUCCCUUUGCUUCCUGGGCACGGGCAACCACAGGGUUCCAGAAAAAUGCGUUUUCUUGCUGGCUCCUUCCUGCCUCUCUAGUUUCCUUUGGUCUGGGGACCUCUAACAACAAAAUGAGAAUUUGCACCUGACAUGAAGUGGUAGCUAAUUUUUCCCCAAAAGGCUCUUCUUUCUCACUUCUGUUCACUGCUUCCCACCUAACCUUUUUUGGAUUCAGUGUCACUUCUAGAUUGGUUGGAUUCACCAUUAAAAGAAGUUGGGUGGCCCCCAAACUCUUUCCCUUCCUCCUUCUGUUGGUCUCGCAUGUCCUCUGCCUGCCUUCACCUGCCUGAGAUAUGUCCACACACAGGUGAUAUCUGGCCUGUUAGUGCCAUGCUUUCUUUGAGUUUGCUCCUGGCACAUGGCACAUUUGACCUCAACACUACAGGCCUGUGACGUUGAACCCGGUAGUCUACCAGGUUACGUGUGGGAGUGAUGAGCACUGUGUUGUCCAUGAGGCUCUCCCAGCCAGAAGCUCACAUGAGUUCAUUGUACAAGGGUACUCCAAAAACUAUGUGGAAAAAUGGAAUGAAAAGUUAAGGUUAUUUUUGGUGAAGUUUUGAAAUUCAUAUCUAACAUAGAUUUCAAAAAGUUCAUGGAAAUAUGGCUAUGAAAAACCUAUGUGAAUUCUAUAAUUUUUCACAGCAAAGUUGACUUCUCUUUCCACUCCAUUUUUACCAUAGCUCUGUGAAGGCUGGGCCUAUGUUCUUGGUCUUCUUUCCAAGUGCAGGAGGAGGAAGGCAGUGUGGCAAACUGGGAAAACUUCCCAGGUGUUCUAAGUCUAGGCUUAACCCCGGCUCCAUGCCUGCCAUGGGGCCGCACUCUGUGUGCCUCAUUUUGUCCUCUUGCAGAUAAUCAUAAUAGCAUCUGUCUAUCCUUCAUAUAUCCAAGGAGAUAAUAGGAAUAAGUUGUUCAUAUUUUACGUGAUCAUCACGUUAAAAAAUGUGAUGUGUGUUUGUCUCAUGUGCUGUGUGUGCUGGUUGAAUCUGUCUUCUCUUUCAGAACUAGAAGAUGAGCAUGUUAUCACAUUUUACGGUGUCGUCUUUUUUCAAGCAAUUUUUACACAAUUAAAGCAAGCCCAGUGAUCUCCAUUAUCCUCAUGUUUUUCCUGGGGAUCACUACGGCACAGACAAGUGAGCAUCUUGCUUGAGGUCACACAGCCAACGACAGGCCUAACCAGGUAGAGAACCAUGGCAUCCAGGAUGCCCAGAUGCAGCUCCCCCGCCCACACCACUUACCAUAUUAAUAGGCUGGGAUUAACGGAAAAAAAGCAAACCCAAUUAGUUUCUGUUGCAGGCCUUUUACAAUCCUGUCUUGUUUCUCUGUGUGUUUAUAUGUAUGUUUUAAUAGCAUUCCCUGCCUUUUAUGCUGAGGUUGCUCGAGGUAUGUUUAUAAUGGUGGCGUAAUUAUAAUCAUAAAAUACAAAUCCAUCCAAGGAGCGUGCUCAUUACUGGCUGCCCAGGUAAAGCAAACAGAUCUGGCGGUGACGCCAGAGCCAGGCAGCUUAUUUCUAAUGUGGGGCCUCCUGGAAACAGACAGAGGCGGUCCUCCUCCAGCCGGGGAGCCCCUGUGCUCAGAAUGCAGUGCCGAGUGGGAGUGCGAGGUUGAGCAGGUCGUUGAGAUGCCUGCGCCAGUGUGCUUCCACAUCUUCUGGCCCAUUUCAUCCCUCUUUUUCCAGGAGGGAGAUAGAAGCACAAGGGGAAAGCUGUUUUCUCUGAAUCUCCGAAGCCGUAAAACUCUUGCCUUAAAUUCGUAUUGACAUUCACACUCCUGAACAGAGGAGUUUGUAAUGUAUAUAAAAGGGGGGAGAAUUAUUGUUAUGAACAGAACCAUAGCGGGGGAAGAGAGAGAGAGAGAAAGAGAGAGAGAGUGUGUGUGUGUGUGUGUGUGUUUUAAACGCCUGUCUGUCCUUGUUAAUUAGAAGUGCACAUAUUGGGAAAUUAACUAUGAAAUACUAAAAAUGAUAAAUUAUUCCUUAUUUGAAAGUAUAAAUUAAAGGUUUAGUGUAUAUAAAAUUUGUCAUGUUUAAUUGCAAGUUCAAUUAAAAUUCAGGGUAAUGAUGAUUUAUACAGGUUUCUGUGUAAUUUGAUAUUCAUUAGCUUAGCCAGACACAUGCUGAUAUUAGCUCGUUAAUUAUGUUUCCUUUUGUUGAAGGCAGCCUUGUGAAAGCAAUCUGCUCAAAGUUUUCUAAACUCAUUCUGCUAAAUGAAUAUUUGGCAGCUGUUCAUGUUAUUGAAAUGGUCACUGUGGUUUCAUUUCACUCAUAAGCCGCAUCAAUCAUACCUUCCCUGUGACAAACAAGGGUUUCUCAUUACAGACCCAUUUAUGAAGGUUAUGGCUGACAUUAAAGAGUGAUUGUGUGGUACUCUGCUGCUCCUUUGCAGGGACAUUGGCCUGGAGCUGCCAUGAGCACCCACACCUCUCACCUGGUCACAUUGUUGAAAAUAUAGCCGGGGAGGGCAGGUUCAUCACAGUCUCGUUUUCAUCAUCUUUGAUUGGGUCAAACUUGACCACUAGAACUUGGACCGCAGAAGAUGGACCCUCAAAGGAGCAAGGGCCAGCAUUUUACCUUGGACCUUACAAGGGUUGAGGUUGUGGAGGUGGUGAGAGGUGAAGGGAUUUGCUCAUGGGAACACAGUGCCCUGAGCGGUGGAGGUGAGCCUGCCUCUUGUGGGUGGUGCAGGCGGCAGCACAGGGCUCAGUGGAAGCACCGUCUGGCUGGCAACCAGUUAAGUAGCAGUGCCAUGCCCUUCACAGAGUUCCCAUCGCUGGUGCUGCUCGAGACUCACACUUUACCUGGGAUACUGUGAAAGGCAGGUGUUGUCUUUCCUUUGUGACGAGUGACAGAAGUUGAGGCAUAGGGAGGUGACUGAUUUGUUCAGAGUUAACAGCGAGGAUACCAGCGGUGGCCAGACUCAGUGCUGCGGGCUUCCCUGCACGCUCCUGUGUACCACGAGGCCUUUGCAAGUGAGGGGCUGGUUUUCAUUUUAGUUUCCGAUCUACCAGCACCCUUUUGUAGGAUGGAACCUAUGUUUGGUAACUGGUGAGAAUAUUGACUCUGUGCUGUCCUGUAUUUUAGCUUCCAGCUGUUUGUAUAUUGGAAAGUUGGCAGUCUGGUGUGCAAUGAUAAAAUGCAGUGAAAAUUCCUUCUAAUAAAUUCGCAGUUUGAGUCUGUAUCACUGUACGUGUGUAUCUGUGCAUUUUCAGGUGGGAAGAGGUUAGGGAUUCUUGUCAGGUUUUAUUGGUUGGUGAGCCAUCCCAUUAGGUAUUGGGUCUUGUUUUCAGGCUGUGCUUUCUCUGGAGGUGGUAAUGGCAGAAUAGCUGGCUGUGCAUCCCAGUUCUCCUCUCGCCGUGGAGUAGAGUGUGGUUGCUGGGAUGGCACUUUGAAGCCCCCACUUCUGUCUUUGUCCGGGUGGGACUGUGGGGCUCUCCUGGCCACAGACUCCACAAGUUCUCCUUCCCUACCUGACAUAGGCGAAAGACUCUGAGGUAUAGGGGACAACAGAGCCACAGAGUAAAUGAUCCUGGGUCUCUGAAUUGCUGUGUGGAAGGCUACCUGCUGAGUGUCUGAUGGGACUUUGCCUAAGCAUGAAGUUAACAUCUAUUGUAUUAAGUCCCUAAAAUUUCAGGCCUCAUCUCAGCAGCUAGCACUACCUUAAUUAGUACUUUAUUUCCUCAUUCAUUCGACAAAUGUUGAAUAUUUCAUCUUCGUCAGAUCUUGAGCAUGUAAGGGUACCAUUCCUGACUUCAGGGGGGUACCACCAUAUUCUAAGGGAGAUACCCAAAUGAAAAAAUAUAUAUUUUUAUAUUUUAUUUAUUCUUUUUUUGGGGGGGGCUCCCAUCUGCUGGUUCACUUUCCAAAUGUCUGUUAUGGCCUGGCAGAUAAUACCAGUGGGCUGGAACACAAUCCAGGUCUCCCAUGUAGGGUGGCAAGAACCCAAUUACUUGAGCUAUUGCCACUGCCUUCCAGGGUGUGUAAUGCAGGAAGCCAGAUUCUGAAGCCAAAGCCAGGAAUUUCUGAACUCAGGGACACCAGUGUGGGAUACAUGCAUCCUAACUGCUAGGCCAAACAGCUAGCCCAGGUAAAAAUUUUUCACCCUGGUGCAGUAAGUGCUGUUAAAGGUAUUUAAGAUAAGAACCCAAUGAGGAAAUUGUUUUUAUGAAAUUUAUAGUGAAAUAACAGAUUUAAACUUUUAUGUAAGCAGAACCUUCUAUUCCCAAAGAUAUCAUAUGUGGAAUGUCACCUUCAUCAAAUGACAAAGAGAAGAUUGGAAGAAUCUGGAGUAGGAAUGGGAGCAUCCGGGCUCCUAGAGCUUUCCUGUGAACCCUCUCAGCCUCUCUGAUGCCCUCUGCAUCCCUGGGUGCUGUGGUUCCAACUCAGAGAACACAGACAGGGACUCAGGCCCAGAGAUGGCUGAUCUUUCACUGAGCUGUUUGGUCUUCCUACAGGAUGUGGGACCCGGUGGCUUUUUUUUAUGAUUUAUUUAUUUUUUUUUUUUUUGAGAAAGUGACAGAGAGAGAGAGGGAGAGACAGAAUGAAAGGUCUUCCAUCCACUGUUUCCCUCCUCAAAUGACCACAACAGCUGGAGCAGAGCCGAUCCAAAGCUAGGAGUCAGUAGCUUCUUUCAGGUCUCCCGUGCAGGUGCAGGAGACCAAGCACUUGGGCCAUCCUUCACUGAUUUCUCAGGCCAUAAGCAGAGAGCUGGAUUGGAAGAGGAGCCGCUGGAACAUAAACUGGUGCCCAUAUGGGAUGCUAGCACCACAGGCAGAGGCUUAGCCUGCUAUGCCACAGCACCGCCUCCCCCUGUGGCUCUUUUUUCAUAGAAUGCUUAUCUGCUAUCUGGAAGUUUGGUGGGAUUUCAAAGGACACUUAAUUCUAAGACUUUUGACCUUAGGUGAGUUCCUUGAGCUUUUUUGUCCCACUUUCUUCAUUUGUAAAACAGAAAUGAUAAUAGUCUCUACCUGCCAAGAUUGUUAGGAGAAUGAAGCAGGGUAAUAUACACAAAGAUUGUCAUAAACCUGCCAUGUGCGGACUGUUCAGCAGCAUUGGCUGUUGCUUUCCUGCAGGAUAAAAGACUCCUUGUUCAAUUUGUGAGCAUGUCUACGUUCUGAAUGAAUAAGCAGAGGGAUGCAAGGAAGGACUUUGCCAUUGGGGAAUGGUAACUCCAUAACAGCAUGAAAACUUCUCAUGGUUACUUUGUGACUUCCUCUUGUCCUCUUGGCUCUACACACCUAGUCACUUUUUUUUUUUUUUUUGAUGUUUGUUUAUUUUCAUGUGCUUGAAAGGCAGAAUGAGAGAGAGAGGGAGGGAGGGAGGGAGAGAGAGAUAUAGAAAUAGAAAUGAAUUUAUGUUCUAUCUGCUGGUUCACUCCCUAAGUGUCUACAAUAGCCAACUGUGGGAUAACUUGAAGCCAGGAACCUGGAAUUCCAUCUGGGUCUCCCAUGUGGGUGGCAGGGACCCGAAUAGUUGAGCAUUCACCUGGAUACAUUAGAAGGAAGUUGGCGCAGUAGCUGAGUAGCUAAGACUGGAACCAGCACUUCAAUAUGGGAUGUGAGGAGCUGACAUUGUGACACAGCAGGUUAGACUGCCAUCUUCAGUGCCAGCAUCCCAUACGGGCACCAGCAGUCCUCACUGCUCUGAUCUAGCUCCCUGCUAAAUGUGCCUGGGAAAGCAGUGGAAAAUGGCCUAAGUCCUUGGGCUCCUUGCACUUUGCACCCUGCUCCUGGCUGCUGUCUUUGGCCUGGCCCAGGCCCAGAGAGUGAGCCAGCAGAUGGAAGAUUCUCUCUCUCUCUCUUUCUCUCUCUCCUUCUCCCUCCUUCUCCCUCUCUCCCUCUCUCCCUCUCUCCCUCUCUCCCUUCCUCCCUUUUCCUGCUCUCCAAUUUUUAAAUAAAUAAAUAAGUAAAUCUUAUUUAGAAAAUGGGAUGUGAGCAUCCAAAGCAGUGGCUUAACCAGCUGAGUCACAAUGCCUGCCCCAGCAGUCACAUUAUUGUGAGGGUUUCCUGAAACUUUGGGGAGAUCAGAAUAUUUCCUUACCAUGUUUGUAGAGAAGUGCAUCAUAAUCUAGACCAAUAAAUAGUUUCUGUUCUUUUCAUUUGCAAUUUCAUUUUUGAAAAGAUUUAUUUGUUUGAAAUCAGAGUGACUGAGGGAGGGAAGAAGGAAGAGAGAGACAAAGAGAAAUCAUCCAUCCAAAAUGGUUCACUCCCAGCAUGACCACAACUGCUCGGGUUGGGGCAGGCUGAAUCUGGGAACCCAGAACUCCAUCCUGGUCUCCCAUGUGCAUAGCAAGGGACUAAGCACGUGGGCCAUCUUCUGCUUUUUUCCCAGGUGCAUUAGCAGGGAACUGGAUCAGAAGUAGAAUAGCCAGGACAUGAACUUGAACUCUAAUAUGGGAUGAUGGCAUUGCAAGUGGUGGCUUAACCUCCUGUGCCACCAAGGCUGUCCCCUCGUUAUUGCUUUUAAUUUAGCUCUCAGUCCUUUCUAGACCUGCACAAUGAAACUUGGCACUUUUUGUUUAAUUUCACCACCUGAUGUCUUAUUAAUGUGUUUUGUCAGCAUGGAAAGCCCUCUGGUGGUGAAAGUAUUCCUCUGUGGCUUUCAUAUCAGUGAAGUAAAAUCAAGCUCCUCUUAAAGAGCUGGGUUCAAGUUCUCUGUUUCUCCUUUGCGACUUUAUUUUUCUAGUUAAAACUGUAAAGCAAAUGUUACACUGGAACAAGUCUUUUGCAUUACUGUAGCUCCAAAGACAGCUGGGGGGAAAUUAUAAGAGGGUGCUUUGCCUUAUGCAGGAGAAAACACGAUAGUGAUGUUCUUAACUUUUUGGAAGGUUUAAAUGCUAUUGUCUCAUAUGCUGCAGUCACCCCAGGAAUGGAAUUUGGUGUCGUACAGUCUGCUGUGAAGAUUGUUACAAAUGCGUGCCACGUUAAAGCUGGAAGUGCGGGGAACUGAGACUUAUCCUCUCAUGUUCUACAAAGGGAAAUUCAGGCCUGGUGAAGAGAUGUUACUGCCUCAGGAUGUUGAUUUUGUGGAGCAGAGCCCCAAGCAGAAGCUGGGCCUCCUGGUUAUUUCCCAUGAACUUUUUGAUGACCCCUUGAAUUCUCCAUCCACCCAAUUCAUGGGUCCUGACAGUACCACCUGGGAGAAUGAGAAGGCCAAGACUGCAGAAAAGCUGGAAAUUCAUGGAAAUCCCCAGAAUCCUAUGGUACUCCCAGGCUGUUUUGGUGGGUACAGGUACAUUUUCUCAAGAGGUUUAACUUCUCAUGUCUUUGUUAUUGUCCUCAUUGGUCAGCUUCACAAGAGCAGGGCUGGGCUGUGAUGCUGUGUGAAUGAGACAGCAUUGAUGAGAAGGCAAACGGGUCAUUAAUGUGGGAAUUCACACGUGUGUCUCCAUCUCAUUUGGGAGGAGGGGGUAAGUCACACCACUUCCUGUUGCUCAUUUGCGUAAGUUGAUUCUUUAUUGUGAGGCUACCCACUGUGGCAGGUCAGAAAAGAAAACAUGGUCCCAGCUCAUGCUCAAGCUGACUUGCCCCAAAUGGUAGAGUUAGAAACAUACCAGGGGACUCCAAUUUAAUCCCAUCAAGGUGGCAUGUACCAAUGCCAUCUCACUAGUCCAAGUGAUCAAUUUCAGUUCACAAUUGAUCAUAAUGAAAGGACUAAGAGUCAAAGGGAGCACAUAAACAAGUCUAGUACCUGCUAAUACUAACCGAUAGAAUAAAUAAAGGGGAGAGUGAUCCAACAUGGGAAGCGAGAUACUCAGCAGACUCAUAGAAUGGCGGAUGUCCUAAACAGCACUCUGGCCUCAGAAUCAGCCCUAAAGGCAUUCCGAUCUGGCUGAAAAGCCCAUGAGAGUAUUUCAGGCAUGGAAAGCCAAGACACUCUGGCAAUCAAACAAACAAACAAACAAAAAAAAACCUAAAUGAAAGAUCUCUGUGAGUGAGAUCCCAGUGGAAAGAACAGGUCUUCAAAGAAGGAGGUACCUUUCUCUGAAGGGAGGAGAGAACCUCCACUUUGACUAUGACCUUGUCUAAACAAGAGUCAGAGAACUCAAGGGGCUUCCAUAGCCUUGGAAACUCAUGACUGGUGCAUAGGGAGAUUACUGAUGCCAUAAACAGGAGUGUCAAUUUGUAAAGUCAACAACAGGAGUCACUGUGCACUUACUCCUCAUGUAGGAUCUCUGCCCUUAAUGUGCUGUACAUUGAGGCUUAAUGCUAUAACGAGUACUCAAACAGUAUAUUUCACUUUGUGUUUCUAUGGGGGUGCAAACUGUUGAAAUCUUUACUUAAUGUAUACUAAACUGAUCUUCUGUUAAAAAAAAAAAAAAGAAGAAAUUAGCAAUUCCCAACUUGACUCUCGCUGAGAUUAAACAUGACAAUAGGUCUGAUCUGAUUUCAUCAUCAUUUAAAAAAUCAUCUAUUAUUUUUCACUUUAUGUUUCUGUGUGGGAGCAAACUGUUGAAAUCUUUAUUUAAUGUAUGCUAAACUGAUCUUCUGUAUAUAAAGAGAAUCGAAAAUGAAUCUUGAUGUGAAU